rnacentral:lncRNA from 1 species
GGGACAACUAAAGGCAGACUUGAAUAUGGUGAAGAAGUGUGGGGCUCGUUUGGUGUACGAGCAAGAUUUGAAAGAACUCAACCAAAAACUACUGAAACGAACACGCGAAUAUCGUGACAAGGCAGCUCCAAGUGGACCUGGAAGUGUUAGCUUCAACGACACAGAAAAAAUUUGCAAAAGGCGUUGUAACUAGUCACCAUGUCACAAAAAAUGCAAGUAACCAUCGAUUUAUCACAUUAGCUUAAUUGUCAUCAAAAUUAUUUUUUGUUUCGACAUCUUAGUUAAUGUAAUCAAUCUCUCGAGCUAUAUAUUAAGAUGGCUAUAUUUACUGAAAUGCAGAGUGGAUAAGAAUGUUGAUGUAUAAACACUUUUGCAGAUUACUUGGGCAUUAAGAAGAUUGAUUAACAAUCUGAUCAUCUUGCCCAAUGCAGCAAGUGGGUACCUUGGAAACGCGCUACGCCAUGGGGGCUGCUCUGUCAGUCCUGAUCUUAAGGUUCAUUUUCUGAUGAAGCCAUUAGCGUUAACAUGUACACCAAGGGUUGAAUUCAAAUUUCUGUACUCUGGCAGAAAUUGAUUUGUUUCUGUCUGAUUUUGUAACUAAUGCAAACUUGUAGUCCAGAAACAGAAACGUUGCUAAGGAAACAACACUUUUUGCUCAACAACUUUGGUUUGAUUAAAACUUGGCUUUGGUGAUGCAAAAAAUAAGCAUUGAGAGUAUUUUUCCUGAGAUCAUUGGAAAGGUUGUUGUAAAACUUAGAACAGAAAAUCAUACUAAUUUUUUUAAAACCCUUUUUACACGGUAGUUUUGAAGUUUAAACUUUAAAACAGCAAAUCAUAAUCAAAGUAUACACAGAAGCCUCCACGAUAUUAAGUUUUCACCCAAGUAUACACAGAAGCCUCCAGUUGAAUGGCGUGUGUCUAGGUUCUCUACAUAAUCACAAUCAAAGCGAAAAAAAUUCACAAAUGACUAGCAAAGAGAGGAAAACUUCCAGGAGUAGUCUGAAAAUAGUUUUCUUCUUUUCCGUUAACAAGUCCGAACAUACUUUUAUUUGCAAAGCAGAUAUGUCAAAACUGGAACAAUAGAUGAAAAUAAGGGCAAUGAAGGAAAACAUUCAACACAGGAAAAGACCAAAAUCUAAGAAUGAAGUAACUUAAAAUUGCCAUAAAUUACAAAGAAAAGUAUAACACUAAAGAGCUACAUUAGAUAUGUUAUAUAAAUUUUGGAUGGAUCAGGCAUUCUCUGUAUCCUUGAAUACUUCUCAGGUGUUCUGCUGCUUGCUUUUAUAUUGCCAUUCACAAUAUGGAAAGCAAGGAAUUAAAUCACGUGUGCUGUUGUGCAAAAAUUAAGGCAAGGCAAACUAUGGAUUGACAAUUAGUGGUUUUAUAUUACCAUUCACAAUAUGAACAGCCAGUACCAUGCAAAGUUCCGUCCCCACCCCCCUAAGGUCCAUUGGACAAAUGGCUACACCAAGGGCGUAACCGUAUCCCCAUAUAUACUUGGCUAAAGAAUAUGGUUUUAUAUUUAAAGGUUGCAAACACCCGCCCUAACUGAUGCCUGACCUCAUUAGCAGUAGGCCAUUUGUUAUCACUAACCUCCAAUGUCAAUUCAAAACAGCCACCAUUUUUGUAGUUCCAAUCUUGCAUGCCUCCAUUUAUAGGGUACCUACAACAGGUGUCUUAAGAAACAAUAGAUGAAUAUCAAACAGAAGGAAAAUAUACCUAUAAUAAGUUGUAAUGUUUCAAGCCAUCAUACUAGAAAGCUCGAUUCGUAAUCCCUCCCUCAAAUUCCUUGCGCAAUGACAUAUUGUAGUGAGAGCAAAAGACAAGAGCAUAUGUGCAAAAUAAAAAUUAAUAAGCGUUAGCAUAAAUUCUGGGAUAUUGUUAUUUAGAACUUACACAUAUUGUUAGGCACCAUCCGAAAAUCUAUAAUCAUAUUAGAAGUAAUCGGCAAUGUUCAUAACAUUACAGUAACACACUUUAAGACGUACUAUUGACAUCACCAUGCUUGUUUCACACUAUAAAAGAAACAUUUAAAAACCUGAACACAUUGGGCAUCAUAGGUAAAAUUAAAUAAUGAUCAAAACCUACACUCUCACUGAGGCCAACGUACAAAAGAAACAUUCAACUCUCUUGCAAAAUUCUCUGAAAGAAACAUUGGGCAUCAUAGGUAUAAAUGAAACAUUCAACUCUCUUGCAAAAUUCUCUAAAUUCUCCAAGCACUUUUCCCUCAAAAUUCUAACUUUGGCAUCAGAGGCUCUUCGGCCAAACCCCCCCCUAACUUCAUCGUGAACGCAUAAGGCUAUUGGCCUUGACCUAAGAUGUUAUUUGUUUUGUAGGUACAAUUUUGUCCAAGAACAAGGAGGAAGAAAUUUGCAUCCACAAAUUGGUGCUUUAAUUGAGAGCUGAGUCACACACUCGUAGAAGACUCUCGCAUCUAAGGUUUUUUGUUUUCUUGUUCAUUUGUAGAUUUUUCGUACAUUCUUAUUCUUAGAAUUUUUAUUUCUAAAGAUUCUUUGGUAAAACGUAAAAGAAAAGUACAAUGGCAAGGGACUCGGAAACCUCGAAGAACGAAACUUUCUAUGUUCAAAGAUCUGGAUCAAAUGAUGGAGGACGAGAUGUAAACCCACCACGACGAUCCACAAGGCACCCAGCAUAUUUUAAAAAAAAUGCUCAAACUAUCACUUGAAAUUGCAUGAACGAGUAACAAUCGAUUUACAUUCUGGGGAAUGGAAAAGGAACAAAAUAAAGUUUUCAAGUAGCACACAGAAUACAAAAAUACUACACUGUCAGUGUAUGUACACACUCAAUAAAUUGAAAUCGGCGUAGUAUGCAAAACUUUUUCGACAAAAAGUGAAAUUCAUGACUUCAGUUUUCGACAGUAAACGCGAAAUAUGGCAGGUGGAAAAUGAAAGACUAACAAUAAAACAAAAUAUUAAUAAUAUAUUAUUAGUUGCAGUCGAAUUCAGAAACAAUGAACUUUUUAAGGAAGAAGAGGGAAAUGAAAAUAUCCAAUUGCACGUGAUUUUUCGGCAUGUACUUAUAAAUUAUAAUCUUUGUCAUAUUACAGCUUCUCAGUUUCAUUAUAUAUUUCUUGUGGUCAUAAGUGGCUCGUAGCAAUUUCCCUUAUUUCUUUCCACACAAGAUCAGAGAAAAAGUAACAAAAAAUUGUGACUAAAACUGCCCUCAAAACACAUACAAUUGAUAGAGUCUGUCCUUUCUCAGGGACAAGUAACAUAAUUGAACUAGCGGAAUGAAUAAAACUUUUCUAAAGAGUGAAGAUGGAUAUUCUCCAACACCAGAAUCAACUCAAUUCGGUGGUAAACAGGUAUUGCACCCUUCUGGAUUCAAAGGUGCAAUAAGCUAGAAGCUAUAUCGCACUUUUUUAACUUCCACUAAUAAGCAAUCAAUGUAAUUAAGUUUCUGACCCUUAUACUGCGUUAUUGUUGCAAAAAGAUUUCAGCUACUGGUGCCUGAAUCCUUAUUACACAGCUCUAUGGUAAGUUUCAAGCAGCUGCAAGGACUAAUUUGUGCUAAUCUUGAAGGAAUCAAAGCAGGUUCCUGUUCUUUUGAAUCAUAACUUUUUCUGGGUUAUGGAACAAAUAUAAUUUCUACGUUAUUAUUAUUUACAGAAGGGAGGGGGGACGCUAACGCAUUUUCCUUCAAAAAUCCUGCCAUGUUUCAAAAAAUUGAUUGUAUACAGGAAGGAUUAAAAUUUCAGGAUUCAAAAGUUUCUACCAAAUGGCGGCUUGGAUAUAAUUUGGAUAAAUUAAUAUUAAAAAAUAAGAUUGUUUUGUUUAUGCUUUUGUAUGUAACAGAACAUUCACCUUAAAUGCAGCUUCAGGCUCUUCCACCCCGGGCUUAGCAGAAAUUGCUACUACCCACUACAAGCAAUAAUACAUCAAACAUUACCAACUUCAUAAGAUGUGUGUCAAGAUGUUAUUCUAAUAAAUAAAACUCUUCCCAAUACUGAUAAUCCAUUCGAGAAAUCCCUCAACAGGAGAAUAAAAAGAAUAAAUCAGCAUAAUCAUCAUGAGAUGCCUAAACAAAAUCCUACAAUUAAAACCUGUAUUUAUCCAGCUAAAACUACCACUAACAAAUAUGAUUGUUUUAUUUCGACUAACAAGUGGUAAAAUUAUAAUCUGGCAAAUGUUAAAAAUGCACAAGCCCAAGUAAUCACCUGUAAGCCGUAGAAAUGUUACUGCAUCUUUGGCCGAACGCCUUAAUGGCCUGUCCCAGGUCAGAGUUAGUCAUGUACCCCUGAGCUACAUCAACACUGUGUCACCAAUUUUUUUCACAUUUUCAGUAAACACAUAAUUAUAUCAAAUUAGACUAUAUAAUUCUUGUUAAGCUGCUAAGCUUCAACUUUAGUGAUAAAUACCGCGUCUGAGACUCCUUAUCUUCAAACAAUUGCCUGCCGGAACCAGCGCGAGGACCAAAUUCGAAACCUAUCAACAUUUAAUUUACAAUUAGCUAAAUUCUUAAUGCUUAAAGAUUUAGUUUCCUUUUCUAGUAGCGCUAAUCCACCUAAAAUGUAAAGAAUUUAAGGAAGCAAUAGGCAUGAUAAUCUAUCUGAUCAUAAUUAACUACCGUUUGGUAGCUGAAAUAUCAAAGGAAAAUUUUUCAAUUUACUUCUUGUUCUUGUAAUCUCAGUUUUUCAACUCCCAAAGAACUAAACGCACACACAUGAAUAUAGAAUGUAUUCAAAUAUGUAUGUGUGUGUGUGUGUGUGUGUGUGUGUGUGUGUGUAUGACAGAUGAGGAGACGGGGACCUGGAGGGUAGGAACUGUGAAGGCCGCCUCUAGCGGUGGCAGGACGAAGAAAAGAGGAGAAGCCUGAGAGAGAGGAAGAGGAUGGAAAGAGCAAGCUUCAUGAUGUGAUCUUUGGAUUGACGAUGGUGGCGAUGGAGCUCCAGAAUCGGAUUCAGGAAGCCAAGGAGUAAAAGAAGAUGAAAACGUAACGACGAAGAUUGGAGACGCGGGAUCUCGCGGGAAAAUGGGCUGCAAAUUCCGUUGGAAGCGAAGUAACGGGGACUUGGAGUUCGAGAUAUGGGUUGCAAAUGGAUCUCGGCCCAUUUUUCAAACAGCCCGAACCAAACUAAAUUCUAUAGGUUGAUUUUUAUUUUAUUUUUUAAUAAACAACAAUAUUUUACAUUAUAGGGCUUGAGUUAAAUAAAAGAUAAAUAUCACUAACUAUAUUGGUUUGGUAUUGAAAAAAUUGAUUUUGGAAGUAGUUGUCUAUUUCGAAUGUAAUUAUGUAAAUUUUCUCUUGUAUUUACUAAUUCGUAAGGAAUUGAAAAAAUGUUAACUUUCUUUAAUAUUUGUUAUCAAAUAUCAAAAUAUCAGGAAGCAUAUCGACUAGGACGGCUAGUUGAGCCGAUUCCCUUCUCUUACAUUUUCAUACUUCUAAGUUCUCUCAUUCCUUCAUUUUCUUAUUCCUAAUAAGUAAACAUUGAAUUAAUUGAUAUGGAUCCAAUGUUUUAAUGUUUUAAUGUUUCAAAUACUACUUAGGAUUCAGAUUUCAUACAAAAAUCGAAAACCCUUAUCAAUUGCAUCUGACUGGGAACAAAUUUGGUGAGCCCUUGAGUCAGGGCUACACUAGAUUAAAAUAGGGCUGGUUAAAAAAUUCGAAAAUCGAAAAAAACCGAAUCGAUACAAAACCGAACUAAAUAGAAAUUGGUUAGUUUGGUUUUAGCUUUAUGGUUCAAAAACCGAACCGAACUAAAGUACCACUUCAAACGAUGUAGUUUUUGUAAUUUUGUCUUUUACAGGAGGACAAUGCAGUAACACUCAAAACGAUGUAGUUGUUGUGUAUAUAUACACUUGUAUAAACAAAUUGUUGUGCUUUUAUAUAGAUACAUUAUCAUUAACAUAAUUCACUCAAUACAAAUAUAUCAAAGAUCAUAUUGUGGCUCAUACUUUUCAUCGUACAUACCGUCACUGUAUUAUUUAUUAACGGGUGUCUGAUUGAGUUUGAGAAAAUUAUCACAUUAACAAAGUGAUGUCUUUAAUUUAUUUAUGUGUUGUGAUUGACAGUAAAGAAGAGUUCUUUUGUAGAACCAUAUGAUCCAAUUAUUUUUCUGCCUAUUAUGGGCAGAAACGGGUAAUUGAUCAUUUUAGCCUCAAUUGUUUUGGUAGAGUUUAAUUGAUAUUGUUGUAGUCAGUGUCUUUGGAGAAACAUGUUUCAUGCACUGCAGACUGGUUCCUAAAGGGUGCGUUUGGUACGUGGGACGGGACGGGACGGAACGGGACGAGGCGUUCCGUCCCGCGUUUGGUGCGCCAAAAAUGGGUGGAACGGGCUGUUCCACGGGACAGAUUUUGAGUGUUUUUGCGUUCCACCUCCCCCCCUGGAACGGGUUUGUUCCACGUUUGUGGAACACAAUGUUUUACCAUUUUAAGACAAAUAUACCCCAUGUCUUUUUCAAAAAUUACACCUUCGUUCCGUCCCGUCCCGUCCCGUCCCGUUCCGUUCCGUUCUGUCUGCGUACCAAACGCACCCAAAAUGAUGAGAAAAGUUUUAUAGUGGGUGACAUAAUUAUCUUCCUCUUGAAAAAAACAGAGACAUGAAAUCCUUUCUCAGAAGAAAGAUAACAUGUCCCAACAAGGAAUGGAAAUAUGCCAUGGUCGGUCUGCCACUUUUUUGGUGGAAAAUAAUUGUCCUUCAACUUCGGUUUUUCUCUUGAACGAGUAUUGGGAAGUGGACAGCUCUUGUAUGGAGAUUUCCCUGUUGCUUCUUUCAGACGGAUUUACCUUGCACCAAAACGUUAGGUGUGACUCAAAUUUACCUCCGUGUUUUAACAUUGUGACAUGAUAACACGUAAUAGAUUAAUUACACCAUUGUCUUAAUGCUCACAUUUCACAUAAAGAAAAAAGAUUGAGUGACGUUUAACCAUAACUUCUCUUUCUUUUUUUGGACCAUUACCAAUUGUUUUUUAUACGAAAUUUUUACGAUACUUGAGAAUAUGAGAUACGCUGAAUAUUUUAACAAUUGAAUCUUUGUUUAGAAAUACAAAUACCAAAAUAUAACAGAUAUAACACCCUACAAACCACCCUAAAUUUUUUAUUCUUUUACUCUUAGUUUAGGUCAUCCAAACGAAAAAGGAUCCCUCUAGAUCCAUUACGUGGGGAUCUCAGGAAUCUUCAUAAUUCAGCUAUUCAUAGUAUAUUGUAUAGUAAAAAAUUAUUUAAUUUUUAUUAUUUUAAAUUAAACUUAAAUAACAUCGGAUGAAAAAUGAUCGUAAGAUAAACGAUAAUGAUUGAAAUGUGAGAAUAAUAGAUCCGGAAAUCCUUUUCCCAUCCUAACAAUCAUAUUAACUUUUUUUGUUUUUUGUUAUAAAAAUAAUUCAUUAGCUGACACUAUGACCCACCCUAGACUGUCUGGUCACCACCAUCACCACUACUACCAACAGAUGAACUCGGGCUGUCCAAGUGUCCAUCUUUGUCUGUUUUUUAGGAACCGAAAGGCAUAGGCUGCCAUUCUUUGUCUCUGUGCUGAAUCUGCUGAUGGGAACCAAAAGAAAACCAUCCACUGCCUUGUACAUUGGUAACAAACGAAUUAACGGACAAUUAAAGAGACAUGAAAAUAUAUUAUACAGAUGUGCUAUCCAUACACAUUUUUUUACUUUUUUCGCAUUUUUUAUUAAUUUAUGUCAUUGAUCUUCUUUAAUUCAUCUAAUCCGACGAUCGAAAAUUAAAAAGAUACGAGAGAAAUAAAAAAAGAUGUGUGAAUAUCACAUCCAAAAGCCUCGGCAUUGAUCUGCUAUCUUUUUACUUGUUCAUUCAAUUAUUGUUUCAUGUUUGCAGUACCUGUUUACAUCAACUACCUUUUUUCGAUGGCAUUAAGCACCCAAAGAGCCUCGACAUCCUGUGUUUUGAAUGAAUCAGCUCCUCGAUGGAAGUAUGAUGUGCUUUUGAGUUUCAGGGGUGUAGACACCCGCAAGGGUUUUGUAUCCCAUUUAUACCAUGAAUUGUGCAAUUGCCAAGGAAUUACGACUUUCAUGGACGAUCGAGAGCUUGAAGGAGGAACAAGUAUUCCUUCUGAAAGUUCUAGGAUGGGUACUAGUUUAACCUAGAGGGGGUGAAUAGGUUCCAAUUUAAAAAUCCAAUUCAAUUUUCAAUUUAAUUUUCAGUUCUCAAAUUAAAUCCAUAUUCAUAUCACAUAUCAAACUAUCAUACUCAUAUGAAAUUAAAACGAUAAAUAAAAAGUACACACAUGAUGUAGGAUUUUACGAGGCAAAACCCACCACUAGGAAAAUCCUCGGGCUACCAAGCCAGGAAGCACUAAGAAAGAAAGAAUACAUAAAGACUUACAAAACUCAUCAACUAGACACUCAUACCAGUUGGCAGCUUUGUCUCCGCGCUUUGCUACUCGAUCUUUCUUCAGUCUUCGAGUUGAAGUGGCACGACACUAACGCAGCCGUCAAUCACCUUUCCCUCGAACUUUGCAGGAUGCUAACUCGAUCAUGCAGAAUGUUUAUAUGAUGAAGUGUUUGUUUGAAAAACAAUCAAUUACGAAAAUCACAAGGCACAUUUCCAUAAUUGACAUUCAAUAAAAAACCAAAUGAAAAUCAGCAUGAAAAUAAUAUUUUUCUCUUUAAAAACACAUGCUAUUGAAACCACAAGACAGCAGCAAUAUCAAAAAUAUUUUUUUUCCUUAUUCCCAAAAACGCCAAGCUGCUGCCUAUCUUUUGUUUGUCAAAGAACGCCCAAAUAUAUGCAUGUGUGGCUGCCUUUUAAACAAAACAAAACCCUAACCUCCUGUAUACCUCACGGCACCUCACCAAUUAAAUUGAUAAGGAUGGAAAACCAUUUAGAUAACUCCCAUGCAAUCAGAUUAUUUUGAAAUCAUGUUUUAAUAAUUAAUGUAGAAAGGAUAAGUCAUUCUAAAGAGAUAAAACCCACAAAGGGUAAGAGUCCUAACCCAAAUACAAUAACAUGAGAUAUCAGAUGAAUGUAGUUGGAUGCAUGCAUGCAAACGUACCUGGAUGAGUAUCGUGUUUUAGUAACAUCUUCGCAUUGAAAGUGUGAGAAACCUCCCUAGACUAAAACUAUUACAAUUGUAAAUAUGUAACAAGUCUAAGCUAUUACAGACUCAGGCAUUUUGUCAGGGAUUGCCAAUAUUACCCUAACAAUCUCCCCCUUUGGCAUUUCCUAGACAAAAUCCUCUAUCACAGUAUUACAGACAACUAAUAAACUUAACGACCAUGCAUAACAUUGAAGUCUGUAACCUGCACACACUCAAACAAGAAAACCUGUGACGUACAAAAGAUAUAUGCUGCUGUAAAUGAAAGCAUUUAUCUAUAAUAGCAAGCAACCAAAAACAACUAGGCUUUCGAAAUUCUACUUCUCCCCCUAAAUAUAGGCUUCCUACUUCUCCCCCUUUUUGUCUAGAAAGGUCAAAGGCCUUAGAGUUAACCAUCAGGUGCAGUCAGCGGAAGAUAAGUGGAACAAAACAAAAUGUGAUAAAAUAAAAGUGGGGACGAAAUUGGGAGGAAAAGAAUAUCAAAGUAAUGAUCAAAAGAAUAAACAUGGAAAGAAACGAACAUCUUUCAUAUUGUUAAGCUCCCCCUAAACAAAUGCUUUAAAAAAUAUAAUGAAAUGCAGCACGCAAAUGAUAUGAUAUAUAUAUAUAUAUAUAUAUAUAUAUAUAUGUAUAUAUAUAUAUAUAUAUUUUUUUUUUAAUUUUUUUUUUUAUUUUUAUGAGAAGCAUAUAAUUGUUCCAACAAGAAUGAAAGAGUGCAAAGACACAUGUAGUUAUGAAUCCUCAUUCACAAGCUAACAUUGUCCCUAAAAUAUAACAUGUAUGAGUGUAGUUGCAAGUAUAGCCGAAAGUUGAUACUACACAAAUGUAAUUAAGUCUUACAGGACCAACUUAACUUUAACCCUUAAGCUCACAAGAUAUACGCUCGAAUUUUCAUUCAAAGUGUUUGGGGGUAAGUGUAUACGCUCAAAAGAUCAUUACAUGAAUGUUCUACCAUAGGCUUGCAGAUUGAUCUCAUCUCCACACAUCAAAAAUUACCUUCUUUGGAUCAAGUAGGUCUUUGUGAAGGGUUGUAAUGCGGCUUCAGGUACUCGGUUAAAGAAAUGAAGGAUAUAGGAAACACAAAGUCUAAGAAACUAAUAGAGUAGUUGGAAAUGAAACCAAGAGAGAAAUAUAACAACGAACCAGGUAACUUAGCACUCAAUUGAGCGGUUGGAUUUAAGACAUGAACGACAUACAACCGCACAAUUCAUUUCAGAUGAUUCUUGCUCUUCAUUUAGACCAACACACUUGAUUUCUUAUAAUGCUGGCAGCUCACUUAUGAUUCAUAGUGACUUAUUUUCCUCUUUUCUUCUUUUGCUUUUCAUGUGUUGUUGGCUUUCUUCACAAAAAUUUUGCAUCUUCAACUUUUAAAAUAACAUUGAACUCUCUCCUUUGAAAAACGUACUCUACUAGCUUCUUAGUAGGGUAGGGAAUUUUUAAUGUAAGAGGCUAGGUAAGGAAAAUGUAGGUUUAAGAACAAAAGGCUUACAUAUAGGCUCAAAAGGGUUAACUGGGGGAAAACAUAUAAGGCACUGGCAUAUAUGGCAAUGAUGGUAAGUCCUAAUGCCUACUAUCGUCUCCAAAAUAGAAUAAUAUGUGAUACAAAGUUUUGAGAGGUCUCAAAGCAAGUUCUAGAGAAGCAAAACACAUAAGAUCACACACAUGAAAAAAAUAAGAGUGUAUGAAAAAUGCACACACUAUAUUUUAGGCACAAAAGCUCACAUGGGUGCGGGUUUUACUCAAGUUAAACAUGUUCAACUCAUUAACAUUGAUAUAUUAUCAACAAUAGGCUAUUGUCCACAACAGAGUCAAACAUAUCAUGCUAGGGUCAUGUUAUCAAGUGAACAAAGCUAGAAUUCAUAUGAAAUCAUACUUUUCCAUUUUUUCCUCAUACAUUUUUAAAAAUUUUUAUUUUUAUUUUUAUUUUUUAUUUUUAACAAGAAGAAGGACAAAAAAUGCAGUAUUUAUGCUAUAUGAACAUGCAAGCAUGCAUUAAUGAAAACAUUUGCAAAGAGAGAGCUUAGUCAAUAUAAACAACUUGAAAGUGGAGAUAAAUUGACAAGUACACCACUUUGAUUCUCUUUUCUUCUCCAAACUUGUCUUACUUUUGGAACUACCGUACUUGGAAUAGAUAUAAUUCUUGCAAUCCGAUUAAUCUCUUUCAAAUAAGUCACAAAUUGUUCCUUAAGAUUUUCUUUUUCAAAGUUCCUUGAAACUUUUUCUUGAGAAGAAUUUUUCUUUCUAAGCUUAUUGCACUUAGGCCGGAUGUGACCAGGGAUCCCACAAAAAUGACAUAUAGGAAUGAACUUCCUAGAUUGUUUGGGUUUAUUAGGAUUAAUUGAAGUCUUGGUAGGAUUUGACACAUUUGCAAAGAUUGUAGAUGUUUCAGAAGUAAGACCUACACCUUGAUCAGCACCUACUCUUGAGCUAGGAAUAUCAGAUGCUUUGACAAAUCUUGUGAUGGAAGAAGAACUAAUAGUCUUUUCAGACUCAAAUCCUAGACCUCUUUUAUCUCCAAAAUUCUUUCCAUAGCUAAGCAUCUUGUCAAUUUUUCCCGAACCUAUGCUUAAUUCCUGAACUUUGUUUUUCAUCUCAACCAAUUCAUCCUCAAGAGCUUUCUUAUUAGACGUGAGAGUGCUUAUUGUGGUUUGAAGAAUAUGUAUCUUCUCUAACAAUGACUCUCGCAGUUUCUCUCCAUUGUCCAACUGAGAUUGAUGCUCAACUUCAGCUUCUUUCUUUUCACUUUCUACAAGUGCAAGUUUCUUCUUCAAGUUAGAGUUAUCCUUCUUUACUUGCACACUGAUGUCAUAGAGAUCAGAAUAUUUUCUCAAGACUUCUUCCAAGUCAGGUUCUUCAACAAAUGAACCUUCUGUGUCAUAUCCAUCAACAGUUCCUAUAAACGCAAUCGUAUCCUUCUCAGAUUCCGACGUAGAUGCCUCCCCUGAAUCACUAUCGCUCCAAGUGACCUUCAUUGCCCUAUUCUUCUUCUCUUUUCUCUUGAUAGUGUUUGCACACUCAGAAGCAAUGUGUCCAUAGCCUUGACACUCAUGACAUUGAACCCUAUUGUUAGAACUCCUAUGUUCACUAGUUCUAGAUGAUCUAGAGGCUUUGUCAUGUGAGACAUCUAGAGAACGAAAGUUUUUUGAGUUCGAACCUGAGUUGGUUCGUUGCUCACGACCCUUGGAUUUUUGAGACUUGAGAAACCUUCUAAUUUGCAUGGUUAAUUCAACCAAUUCAUCUUCGGACAAGUCUUCAAUUGAGCCAUCACUUUCUUCUUCUUUGACAGCUUUGAGAGCAAUGCUUUUCAUCUUCUUAGAAUCAGGAAGCUCUAACUCGUACGUUUGCAGAGACCCAAUUAAUUGCUCAAGCUUGUAGGUGUUUAGAUCUUUCGAUUCCUCAAUCGCUGUCCUCUUAGCAUGAAACCUCAUAGGAAGUGAUCUUAAGAUCUUUUUCACAAUCCUAUGCUCAGGAAUACUGUCACCAAGAUUGUGACAGCCAUUGACAAUUACGCUAAGCUUAGCAUAAAAGUCAGAGAAACUUUCAUCAUCAGACAUUGUGAUAUUUUCGAAUUUUGUGAUGAGAUGUUGAAGUUUGGAUUCUUUAACAGUUGAGUUACCCUCAUGAGUAACUUCAAGAAUGUCCCAAGCUUCUUUUGCCGUUGUACACUUACUUAUGUAAUUGAAUUGUUCAGGCGAAACGGCUGUGAAUAAAGAAUUCAAAGCCCUUUGGUUAAAAGUGCUAGAGCUACGCUCAUCAUUGCUCCAUUCUUUCCUAGGCUUAAGCUUAGAUAUCGACACAGAGGAUUCUCCUUUAUCUUUAGUUUCUUCAAUCGUUGGAGGUUCCCAACCUUCUUCAACAGCAAGCCACACCUUGUCAUCUUGCGCCCAUAAAAACGAUUUCAUUUUUUACUUCCACGCAGCAUAGUUGUCACCAUCAAAAUGUGGUGGAUGAGAAACUGAACCCAUAGCACGAUUCAUCCUAGACUACCCACGGAUCUCACUAGGUAUUUUUAGUGACCUGCUCUGGUGCCAAUUGAAAGUUCUAGGAUGGGUACUAGUUUAACCUAGAGGGGGUGAAUAGGUUCCAAUUUAAAAAUCCAAUUCAAUUUUCAAUUUAAUUUUCAGUUCUCAAAUUAAAUCCAUAUUCAUAUCACAUAUCAAACUAUCAUACUCAUAUGGAAUUAAAACGAUAAAUAAAAAGUACACACAUGAUGUAGGAUUUUACGAGGCAAAACCCACCACUGGGAAAAUCCUCGGGCUACCAAGCCAGGAAGCACUAAGAAAGAAAGAAUACAUAAAGACUUACAAAACUCAUCAACUAGACACUCAUACCAGUUGGCAGCUUUGUCUCCGCGCUUUGCUACUCGAUCUUUCUUCAGUCUUCGAGUUGAAGUGGCACGACACUAACGCAGCCGUCAAUCACCUUUCCCUCAAACUUUGCAGGAUGCUAACUCGAUCAUGCAGAAUGUUUAUAUGAUGAAGUGUUUGUUUGAAAAACAAUCAAUUACGAAAAUCACAAGGCACAUUUCCAUAAUUGACAUUCAAUAAAAAACCAAAUGAAAAUCAGCAUGAAAAUAAUAUUUUCUCUUUAAAAACACAUGCUAUUGAAACCACAAGACAGCAGCAAUAUCAAAAAUAUUUUUUUCCUUAUUCCCAAAAACGCCAAGCUGCUGCCUAUCUUUUGUUUGUCAAAGAACGCCCAAAUAUAUGCAUGUGUGGCUGCCUUUUAAACAAAACAAAACCCUAACCUCCUGUAUACCUCACGGCACCUCACCAAUUAAAUUGAUAAGGAUGGAAAACCAUUUAGAUAACUCCCAUGCAAUCAGAUUAUUUUGAAAUCAUGUUUUAAUAAUUAAUGUAGAAAGGAUAAGUCAUUCUAAAGAGAUAAAACCCACAAAGGGUAAGAGUCCUAACCCAAAUACAAUAACAUGAGAUAUCAGAUGAAUGUAGUUGGAUGCAUGCAUGCAAACGUACCUGGAUGAGUAUCGUGUUUUAGUAACAUCUUCGCAUUGAAAGUGUGAGAAACCUCCCUAGACUAAAACUAUUACAAUUGUAAAUAUGUAACAAGUCUAAGCUAUUACAGACUCAGGCAUUUUGUCAGGGAUUGCCAAUAUUACCCUAACACCUUCUGAGCUCCCAAGAGCGAUCGAAGAAUCGCAAAUUGCAAUCGUCGUUCUCUCACCAGACUAUGCUUCUUCCAAAUGGUGCUUGAAGGAACUUACAACCAUCCUUAAGCGCAUGGAAGCCAGGAACUCUAUUCUACCGGUCUUUUAUGAGACAGAUCCAUCUGACGUUGGAAAUCAGAAGGGGUCUUUUGCCAAAGCCUUCGAUGAGCAUGAAGAAAAGUUCAUUAGUACCGAAGACAAGAUGAAGGUGACCCAGUGGAGAGAGGCUCUGAAAAAAGUAUCCAAAAUUUCUGGGUGGCAUUCUAAGGAAUCUAAGUAAGCAUGAACAACUUUAAUUUCCCAUGUCUUAGUAGAGUCAAAAUUGAAUGCUUCGUUUAUGUUUUUUUGAUUGGUUAUUUCAUACCAUGUAGGAGUGAAAGUGAGAUUAUACAACAACUCGUCAAAAGUGUGUGGAAGAAAGUGCAAGCUACAUUCCCGUUGUUAGAUCCCUCACAGGAAUUAGUUGGGGUUAAUUUUGGGCUUGAGCAACUAAGUUCGUUGUUAGCUCAUGAUGUCAAUGAUGUUCGCUUUAUAGGGAUAACGGGGAUGGGUGGCAUAGGUAAGACCACCCUUGCUAAGCUUGUGUAUGAUAGAAUCUUUCAUCAUUUUGAAGUUCCCUGCUUUCUUGGCAACAUUAGAGAGGUUUCUAACGUUGAUCUUCAAAAAAGACUUUUGCACCCUAUGUUGAAGGAAAAGAUUGAAGAAAUUUGGGAUGAAGAGCGCGGAAUCAUUUUCAUUAAAAAGUGCUUACGCAACAAAAAGGUUCUUCUUGUACUCGAUGAUGUGGAUCACAUAAACCAGCUACAAGUACUAGCUGGAAAGGAAGAUUGGUUUGGCAUGGAAAGUCGAAUUAUCAUUACAACUAGAAAUGAACGUCUGCUAGUCCAGCAUGACGUAACAUUAUGUCAUAAUGUCAAAGUGUUGGAUGAAGGCGCAGCUCUUGAACUGUUUAGCCUACAUGCCUUUAAGAAAAAUCUGCCUGAGGAUGGGUUUUGGGAACUAUCAACAUAUUUCAUGAAUUAUGCUGGAGGCCUUCCAUUAGCUCUUGAAACUUUGGGGUCGGCAUUGUUUAAGAGAAGGCUAGACACUUGGAAUAGUGUGUGGGAUAAUCUGUCAAAAAUUCCUAAUCCAACAAUUUUUUAUAAACUUAAAAUAAGUUAUGAUGGACUAGAAGAGUGGGAGAAGAGAAUUUUUCUCGAUGUUGCAUGUUUUCACAAAGGGAAGUACACAAAGCGAGUAAUUGAAAUGCUAGAUGAUUCUUUUGGAUUAUCUAGUAGUAUUAUGAUAGAUGUACUAAUUGAGAGAUCUCUCAUCUAUCAAGAUCAUGAAAAAUGCAUAUGGAUGCAUGAUUUGAUUCAAGAAAUGGCAUGGACAGUUAUUGCUCACGAGUCUAAAGAGCCUGGUCAACGCAGUAGGUUGUGGCUUUACAAUGAUAUUUAUCAUGUAUUCACGACGAAUACGGUAAGAAGUUAAAUACUCAGUUUAGAAGAAGAUAUGAUAUCUUUUGACACUAUAUUAUUAUAUAAAAUUAAUUCGUCCUUUUUUUCCUUAAUUGUUAGGGAACAAGAGCAAUUGAAGCCGUAUCCUUACGCCUGCUCAAAGUAGAAGAGGUGCGCCAGUGGAAUUGCAAAGCCUUCUCUAAGAUGGAUGGACUGAGGUUUUUGGAAUUCGAUAAUUUGAUCUUUUCUUCAGGUCCCAAAUUUCUUCCAUGUUCCUUGAGAAUUAUAAAUUGGAGUUGGUAUCCUUCUAAUUUUCUUCCAACUAGCUUUCGCCCGCACUUGCUUGCUCAACUAAAGAUGUGUAAUAGCAAUCUUGUUCGUGUUUGGGAGGGAAAAGUGGUAAGAGUAGUUAUGAACAAAAGAUAAUACUGGUUACUCACUAGUCAAUACUCAAUUUUUGAUUUUGUCCAAUGAUAUUUUAACACAUUAUUUUAAAAAGUAAUAGGCGUGUUAUUUAAUUUUUCUUGAGUUUUAAAAAUAAGGAACGCUUGACAUUUUUUUAUUGUACAAUCUCGAAGGUCCUAAUUUUUUUCAAUAUUCAUUGAGAAUAAAUGCUAUUUAAUUUACAAAAUAAUCAUAUAUUUAUUUAUUUAUUAUUUUGAAUAAACUUUAAGGUUGUGGAAGUUAAGUAUAUGAUCUGAACGUUAUCGGUGGUGUUGUAUAGGACUUGCCCAACUUGAAAUAUAUCGAUCUUAGCUACUCCAAUAAAUUGAAGAGUACCCCAGAUUUCAAUGGUAUUCCAAAUCUUGAGGAGUUGAUUCUUUGGAAUUGUAAGAAUUUAGUUGAGAUUCACCCGUCUAUUGCAGUUCUCAAAAGGCUUAAACAUUUGCUUCUUAAUGGCUGUGAAAGCAUUAAUAGCCUCCCAAGUGAGGUUGAAAUGGAUUCUCUUGAGACUUUCGAUCUUGAUGGCUGCUCAAAUGUGAAAAAGAUUCCAGAAUUUGGGGAGCAGAUGAAGAAUGUAUUGCGGAUUCACUUAGAUGGGACUACGAUCGAGAAACAAAUGAACAUCUGGUUGGCCUCAAGGAAUUGCAUGUAAGGAAUUGCAAAAAUCUCUUGAACCUUCCAAGGGUGAUUUGUAAUUUGAAGUCUCUUGGAUAUCUCAGUGCGAGUGGAUGCUUAAAGAUUGACAAACUCCCAGGAGACAUGGAUCACUUAGAGGCGUUUUGCUGGGGACCCACUAUGACAGAGCCGCUUGUGAGCAUGAAAAAUCUCAAACGUCUAGUAUUUAAGACAAAUUUUGACAUAGCCACUUGUGGAUCGGAUGGUAAAGCAAGGGAUGGGUGGGUCCUUUGCCGCUUAUUUGGACUUGAAAAGAGUCGCCCUGAUCCUCCUUUUUGUUGGGGUUUGGUGUUAUCUUCUCUAAAUCGUUUAUGCUCUUUGACAGAGUUAUCUCUAGCGAAUUGUAAUCUUCGGGAGGGGGAUAUCCCCGAUGAUAUUGGCUGCUUGUCCUUACUGGGAGUAUUGUAUCUUAGUAGAAAUAAUUUCAUCAGUCUACCUCAAAGCUUUAGACACCUUUCUAAAGUUUUCAGUCUUGAUCUGGAGGGGUGGAAAAGCCUUCAAAAAUUGCCACCUCUUCCAUCAAACAGAGGAUUAAGAGUAAAUCUGGACAAUUGCACUUCCUUACAAAGGUUGUCAGGUCCAUCCAGUUUUUAUGGUGAUUAUGUCACUUGCCGGAAUUGCAUUGCAUUGGUUCAAGAUGAAGACUUGAUUAAUAAGAUUCCAAAAUUUGUCAUUCAGGUACUCUCUCUCUCUCUCGCUCUCUCUCUCUCCUUCUCUCUCUCUCUCUCUAAAUAAUUGAUCUUUCUUCUGCUACAGAGAUUGAAAAUUGUAAUCCCUGGAAGUGAAAUUCCAAAGUGGUUCAAUAAUCAGAAUGUGGGACAUUCAAUAAAUGUGGAGCUUCCUCCACCAUCAUGUACCAACUGGCUUGGGAUUGCCUUCUGUGUUGUUUUUCAAGACCUUAAGAAAAACUUGGCAAAUCCAGCUGCCCUUCGUCAUUAUGAUAGAUUCGAAAUUUGGUAUUUAGAUGCACAUUUUAGCCAUAGAGUUUUGAUCAACCGCAUAGGGUCUGUUGUGUCAGAACACCUUUGCCUAUUUUAUCUGCGUCGUUAUAGAAAUCAACGUCGUGAAAAUUGUCUUCAGGAACAGUGUUUAUUCGAAACUUAUUUUUUUGAUAUCAAGGGACAACUAAAGGCAGACUUGAAUAUGGUGAAGAAGUGUGGGGCUCGUUUGGUGUACGAGCAAGAUUUGAAAGAACUCAACCAAAAACUACUGAAACAAACAUAGCAUAUAUCAUGACAAGGCAGCUCCAAGUGGACCUGGAAGUGCUAGCUUCAACAAUACAGAAAAAAUUCGCAAAAGGCGUUGUAACUAGUCGCCAUGUCACAAAAAUGCAAGUAAGUAACCAUCGAUUUAUCACAUUAGCUUAAUUGUCAUCAAAAUUAUUUUUUGUUUCGAUAUCUUAGUCAAUGUAAUCAAUCUUUCGAGCUAUAUAUUAAGAUGGCUAUAUUUACUGAAAGGCAAAGUGGAUAAGAAUGUUGAUGUAUAAACACUUUUGCAGAUUACUUGGGCAUUAAGAAGAUUGAUUAACAAUCUGAUCAUCUUGCCCAAUGCAGCAAGUGGGUACCUUGGAAACUCGCGACGCCAUUAGCGUUAACAUGUACACUAGGGGUUGAAUUCAAAUUUCUGUACUCUGGCAGAAAUUGAUUUGUUUCUGUCUGAUUUUGCAACUAAUGCAAACUAGUAGUCCAGAAACAGAAACGUUGCUAAGGAAACAACACUUUUUGCUCAACAACUUUGGUUUGAUUAGAACAGAAAUAAGCAUUGAGACUAUUUUUCCGGAGAUCAUUGGAAAGGUUGUUGUAAAACUUAGAACUAACAGACUUCUGUUGAAAUAAGGAUGAAUCACACAGAUAACAAACCCGAGAGUAUGAUUGGAAACUAGAAGUCUGACUUGAUCUUGUGACACCAGCAGUUUAAAUCAAGAUGAAGAUAACCCUUCGUGAACAAAUCAGCAAUUUGAUCUUGUGAACAAAUAAAAUUCACUAGUAGCUCACCUCUAAUCACCUUCUCCCUGACAUAAUGAUAAUCAACUUCUAAGUGCUUGGUUCUUGAGUGGAAAACUGGAUUGGAUGCUGAGGCAAUGGAAGACAAAUGAUCACACCAAAUCUGUUAUCUUAGAAGAUUCUAAUGUACGUCCCUAAAACACGAACAUAACCAAGGCAACUCAGCGGCAGUGUAUGCAAGCUGCCUAUAUUCAGCUUCAGUGCAAGACCUGGAAACUGUUGGACUUUCCUGUUAUGCAGUGAUGUAUUUAGAAAUGUGCAUAAGAAGAAGAAGUUUUUAGAGAGAAAAUGAAAAGACAGAGAGAGUUCUCAAAAAUCUCAGAGAGAGCCAAAGAAUGCUCUGCUGCAUAUAUUCCUUCUUUCCUCAACAUUUACAUGACUACUAGGGAGAGAGAAGCUACGUGAGCCUAUGAGCUCAUCAUACCAUUCAUUACAAGACCCUAUGAGAUCUUGACACAUGUUUACAUCCAAGCCUAGCACAAUAUCAUCUAAUCUCAGCCCUUGAUCACUAACUGAUUUAUUUACACUUGCUAAAGUAAGGAAAAUACAGUUUAGACCUUAAUCAACUAACACUCCCUUCUAAGGUCUUAACUGAGAUUACCCCAAGCUUAUCCUUCAAAGCACAGAAUCUGUCUUUAGCAAGUGCUUUGGUGAAAAUGUCAGCUAGUUGCUCCUCACUUUUGCAGUAUUGCAGGUCAAUUGUUCCUUCUUGAAUUGCAUCUCUGAUGAAAUGAAACUUCCUCUUGAUAUGUUUAGACCUCUGAUGGAAUACCGGAUUCUUUGACAUUGCAAUUGCUGAUGUGUUAUCACACAUCAAAGGAGUUGGUUCGAUCAAUUCUUCACCAAAAUCAUGCAGCACAAAUCUCAGCCAUGUAGCUUGAGUGGUGGCUUUUGAGGCACUCAUAUACUCGGCUUCAGCAGUUGAGAGUGCAACACUCUGUUGCUUUACAGAAGCCCAAGAAAAUGCACCACUGCCAAAGCUGAAAGCAUACCCUGAUGUGGACUUCAUGUCAUCUUCAUCUCCACUCCAAUAACUGUCACAAAAUCCUAUGAGUAGAGCUGCAUUUCCCUUUUCAUACUUAAUUCCAUAGUCAACAGUUCCUUGCACAUAUCUGAGGAUCCUCCUUGCAGUGCCAAGAUGUUUGAUGGAAGGACAGUGCAUGUACCUGGCAAGUACACAUGCUGAGUACAAGAUAUCAGGCCUUGUUGCAGUUAAGUAUAGAAGGCUGCCAACAAUUUUCCUAUACAAUUCUUCAUCUGCAGCUUCACUCCCAUCACCUUUCCUUAGCUUAUCCGUGGGAGGUAAAGGUAUUGAGACAGACUUGCAGCUCUUCAAACCAAACUUGUCCAGUAAACUCAGUGCAUACUUUUUCUGGUGAAUAAAGAUACUCCCUUCUUGUUGGAUUACUCCAAUUCCAAGAAAAUGAUGUAACAAGCCUAAGUCAGACAUCUCAUACUUGUUCAUCAUAUCACAUUUGAAAUCUUCAAUCAUUUCUAAACAGCUUCCAGUAUAAACUAUGUCAUCCACAUAUAUAGAGACAAUCAGAGUUCCCUGUCCAUCCACAUGUUUCACAUAUAAGGUGGCCUCACUUGGACUUUUUUUAAAUCCACUCUGCAGCAAAUGAGUAUCAAUAUUGCUGUACCAAGCUCUGGGAGCUUGUUUUAGACCGUACAGGGCCUUUUUUAACUUAUAUACUCUGUGUUCUUCUCCCUUGACAAUAUAUCCAUCUGGCUGAUCUGUAUACACUUCCUCUUCAAGGAUCCCAUUCAGGAAAGCAGACUUUACAUCUAACUGGUACAGUUUCCACCCUUUCUGUGCUGCCAAAGCAAUGAGUGUUCUUAUAGUAUCCAAUCUAGCCACAGGUGCAAACGUCUCAUUAAAAUCAAUUCCGGGCUUUUGAGUGUAUCCUUUGGCAACUAAUCUUGCCUUGUGUUUUUGUACAGUGCCAUCCAAAUUCAAUUUGGUUUUGAAGAUCCAUUUUACCCCAACAAUUGGUUUGUCACUUGGUCUAUCAACCAAUCUCCAAGUGUCAUUCUUCUCAAUCAUAGUAAUCUCCUCAUCCAUUGCUUUCUUCCAAGCUUCAUCUUGAGAAGCUUCAAUGUAAUUCUCAGGUUCAAUGACACUGAGUCUACACUGAGCAAACACUUCAUUCAGAUCUCUCCACUUCUUUGGUGUGUUGUCAUAGGUUUCUGUGAGUGGAAUUUCACUCUCCAUAUUCACAGUGUUAGGAGCAUCAUUGUGUACACUGGAAACAUACUCACUUCUUGUAUUUGGGCAAGAUAAACCAGAGGAACUAAUAUUAGUUUCUUCACACACGCCAUUUUCUAUCUCAGUUAUGCUUAUACCCUCAUUAGCUUCUGAGAAAGGUACCGAGAAAUGCACAGUUUCCAUAUUCUCCCAAUUAAGAGCAGCAUCUUCAUCAAAAAUAACACUCCUUGAGACAAUGAUGUUGUUGUGUUUCAGAUCAUACACCCUGUAACCCUUUUCUCUUGUCCCAUAUCCAACAAAUACACAUUUCUGUCCAGUUUUUGUCUUAACUGGGUUGGCACAUGAGUGUAGCAAACAGAACCAAAGAUUCUCAAGUGUUUUACCCCUGGUUUUCUACCACAGAAUUCUUCAAAAGGAGUCUUGUUCUCUAGUGCUUUGGUAGGACACCUGUUAAGCAAGUAGACAGCAGUGUGAACUGCUUCACCCCAGAACUUGAGUGGUAAUUUUUUUUCAUAGAGCAUGGUUCUUGCCAUCUCAACUAUGGUACGAUUCUUCCUUUCAGCAAUACCAUUUUGCUGGGGAGAAUAAGCAACAGUGAGUUGCUUUUCAAUACCAACAUCUUCACAAAAUCUUUCAAAUUCUAGAGAUGUGUACUCUCCUCAUCUGUCACUUCUGAUUUUCUUCAGUUUGUAACCAGUUUGUAAUUCAGUCAUGGCCUUGAACAUUUUAAAAAUUCUGAAUACCUUAGAUUUGCACUUCAGAAAAUAGACCCAACACAUUCUGGACUUGUCAUCUAUGAAGGUGAGAAAAUACCUGCUACCUCCAAGUGUUUCACUCAUGGGUCCACACACAUCUGUGUGUACAAGUUCUAAUGGCAACUUUGCUCUCCAUUUCUGUUCUUUGCUAAAAGCCUCUCUGUGAGCCUUUCCAGUAGCACACCCUUCACAUACCUGAUUGUACUCCUUUAGAUAUGGCAGACCAUACACCAUACUCCUUUCUUGUAACAUUCUCAGGCUGUCAUAGUUUAGGUGCCCAAAUCUUCUGUGCCAUUUCCAUGUGUUACCUUCAGUGGUAGCAAUAUUUGCUACAAUAUGAUCCACAUGAUUAAACAUUAGUGGAAAGCAUCUAUUUCCCUUCAUUUUCACAGUGGCUAUAUGAUCUUGCAAUUCACGAUCUCCAAAUAUGCAGGCCAUGAAAUUACCAAACAACAACCAAUAGCCAUGUUCAACCAUUUGUCCUACACUGAGAAGAUUUUCAUCCAAACCAGGUACAAUCAUUACUUCUGGUAUGAACCGAGUGCCUCUUUUGGUCUCCACAAUCAGUGUGCCUUUGCCAACUGAGUCAACCAAUUCCCCUGUGCCCAUUUUCACCUUACACCUUAUACUUCUGUCAAUAUUGAUCAUCAAUGAUUCAGUACUGGUCAUGUGGUUACUGCAACCACUGUCCAAAUACCAAACACCAUUGUUUUCUUGCACAGAGGCCUUAUGACAGGCAUAGAACAUCAUUGCAUUAUCUUGAACAUGAUUCAAAUAAUUUGCAGUAUGAUUUUUCUUUGGUUGGUGACAAUCUCUCACUACAUGUCCAAAUCUGUUGCAGUUAUGACACUUAGGUUUUCCUUUGAACCAACACUCUCCAUGAUGAGCCUUAUCACAGAUCUUGCACUUUUGUUUAACACCCUCAGUGAUCUCGCCCUGUCUUUCAGGCUGUCGAGUGUUGUUUUCCCACUUCCUAGACAUAGACUUCCAAUUCUUCUUUCCCUUACUGUGAUUUCCCUGUGUGAGUGGCCUAUUCUGUGCUUUAGGUACAAGACCCAUAGUGGAGAAAGCAUGCUCCGUGCUUGUAAUUUCAUCAACAUGUCUACUCAAUCUAAGCUCAUAACUCUUAAGAGAUCCUACCACUUCUUGCACAGUCACAGUAUUCAAAUAAGAAGUUCUUUCAAUCACAACACAGAUUGGAUCAUAUUUACUGGACAAACUAAUCAAAACCUUUUGAACUUCUCUUUGAUGAGUGAGGUUCUCACCAUAAGAUUUCAUUUGAUUAAUUAAUUCAAAUAGUCUAGUAAGAUAGACAGAUAGAGAUUCAUUCUCCUUCAUUCUCAUAUACUCAAAUUCACGACGUAAACUUUGAAGUUUAACAGAUCUUGCCUGUUCAUCGCCGCGAAACUCCUCCUGGAGUAGAUCCCAGGCACCCUUUGAGGUCUCUUGAUUCACAAUCCGAGGGAAGAUCUCCUUCGAGACAGCACUUUGAAUAAUGCCCAGUGCCUUAGCAUCUUUCAUGAGCUGAUCUUCCAUGUGUGCGUCCAACUCGUCAUCAUCUCCUUCAUCAUCAUCCGAUGAGGAUGAAUCUUCCUCGUCUUUCUCCUUCUUUGUUUUCUUCUUUUCUCCUUUCUUCUUCGAAUCUGGAAUAACAAUCCCUUUGUCAACCAAUUUCCAUAUCCCAUACGAUUUGAAAAUGGUGACCAUUCUCACUUUCCAGAACUCGAACUCCGUUCCAUCAAAAACGGGAGCUCGUAAAUCACCGCUUCCAGAUCCAGCCAUUUAGCUUGAAUCGGAAUGAAAUGGAGAGAUUUCACGUUGGAUUCUCUCACACAAUUUCACAGAAUUCAACGCCCAGUCCGAAAUCGAACCUAGGCUCUGGAUACCAUGUUGGACUUUCCUGUUAUGUAGUGAUGUAUUUAGAAAUGUGCAUAAGAAGAAGAAGUUUUUAGAGAGAAAAUGAAAAGACAGAGAGAGUUCUCAAAAAUCUCAGAGAGAGCCAAAGAAUGCUCUGCUGCAUAUAUUCCUUCUUUCCUCAACAUUUACAUGACUACUAGGGAGAGAGAAGCUACAUAGCCUAUGAGCUCAUCAUACCAUUCAUUACAAGACCCUAUGAGAUCUUGACACAUGUUUACAUCCAAGCCUAGCACAAUAUCAUCUAAUCUCAGCCCUUGAUCACUAACUGAUUUAUUUACACUUGCUAAAGUAAGGAAAAUACAGUUUAGACCUUAAUCAACUAACAGAAACUGUUUUCUGUUUCUUCGAACUCCACGAUAUUAAGUUUUUACCCAAGUAUAUACAGAAGCCUCCAGUCAAUUGUACACCUCGAGGUCUAUAAACAAGACCCUGAUCAUAGGUAGCCUUCAAAUAACGUAGGAUCCUCUUUAACUGCCCUCCAAUGAGUGUUGUUGGAUGAAUGCAUGAACUGACACACUUGGUUCACAACAUAAGAAUCAGGUCUCGUAAUUGUCAUAUAAUGUAGGGCGCCUACAACACUUCGGUAUAAUUCAGGGUUACUAUAUGAUUCACCCCCAAAAGCACUCAGUUUCUGUCCAGAAGAAACUGGAGUCGAGAAUGGCUUGGCAUUGAUAAAUUUAGUACAUUCCAGCAAGUCCAGGGCAUACCUGGACUCUGUGAGAUGCAUUUGAUCACCCGAGCAGGUUACUUCAACACCUAGGAAGUAGUUGAGACGACCCAAGUCCUUCAUGGAAAAUAAAGUGCCCAAUCUCUUUGUCAACUGAGCCAUUUGAUAAGUAUUGUUUCCUGUGAGCGAUUUAUUAUCCACAUAGAUUAGUAAGAUGAGAUAUACUCCUCUUUGAUUAAACACAAACAAAAUUUAAUCACACUUGGAUUCUUGAAAUCCCAAUUGAAGCAAGAAAUCAGAAAAUCUCCCCCCUCCCCCUAAUAAUAGUAAAUUCGAAAAUAAAAUUAAAAAAGAUGGUCAGAGGAGGAGAUGGAUGCUUAUGUCUCACGGAAAGGAAUUCUUUCUUCCACCCUAUUAAGAUUUACAAUUAAUUUGGCACGAUAUCAAUUUUAUUUUUUCAGAAGACACAAGCAUUCAUGAAAUGAUGGUUUCUUCUAAGUUCUGAAGCACUCUGGGGGAUCAAACUGAAUGCAACACAUCUUUAAAUUUCCUAUAGUCCACUAAAAUCACACAUCACAAUCAACAACAACAACAACCAAGCCUUAUCCCACUAAGUAGGGUUGGCUGUAUGCAUCCUAGAACACCAUUAAGUGGGGUGAAUCCUAUAACAACAACCAAGCCUUUACACAUCACAAUCAAAGCGUAAAAAAUUCACAAAUGACUAGCAAACAGAGGAAAACUUCCAGGAGUAGUCUGAAAAUAGUUUUCUUCUUUUCCGUUAACAAGUCCGAACAUACUUUUAUUUGCAAAGCGGAUAUGUCAAAACAGGAACAAUAGAUGAAAAUAAGGGCAAUGAGGGAAAACAUUCAACACAGGAAACGACCAAAAUCUAAGAAUGAAGUAACUUAAAAUUGCCAUAAAUUACAAAGAAAAGUAGGGUAUAAACUAAAGAGCUACAUUAGAGAUGUUAUAUAAAUUUUGGAUGGAUCAGGCAUUCUCUAUAUCCUUAAAUACUUCUCAGGUGUUCUGCUGCUUGCUUUUAUAUUGCCAUUCACAAUAUGGAAAGCAAGGACUUAAAUCACGUGUCCUGUUGUGCAAAAAUUAAGGCAAGGCAAGCUAUGGAUUGACAAUUCGUGGUUUUAUAUUGCCACUCAAAAUAUGAACAGCCAGUACCAUGCAAAGUUCUGUCCCCACCCCCCCUAAGUUCCAUUGGACCUAUGGCUACACCAAGGGCGUAACCGUAUCCUCAUAUACAUGAUAAACUUGGCUAAAGAAUAUCGUUUUAUAUUUAAGGUACCGUUUGGUACGUGGGACGGGACGGAAUGGAGUGGGACGAGGUGUUCUGUCCCACGUUUGGUACGCCUAAAACCAGUGGAACGCGUUGUUCCAUGUGACGAAUUUUGGAUGAAUUUUCAUUCCGCCUCACCCCCUGGAACGACUCGUUCCACAUCCGUGGAACACAAAAUUAUAAACUCUUCGUCUCCUUCUUCUUCCUUGUUUCCAUCCGAGGGCAUCUUUGCUCCCUCUCCGUUCCGUCCCGUCCCGUUCCAUCCCAUUCUGUUUCGUCCCAUCCCGUCUGCAUACCAAACGAUACCUAAAGGUUGCAAACACUCGCCCUAACUGAUGCCUGACCUCAUUAGCAGUAGGCCAUUUGUUACCACUAAUCUCCAAGGUCAAUUCAAGACAGCCACCAUUUUUGUAGUUCCAAUCUUGCAUGCCUCCAUAUAUAGGGUACCUACAACAGGUGUCUUAAGAAACAAUAGAUGAAUAUCAAACAGAAGAAAAAUAUACCUGUAAUAAUUUGUAAUGUUUCAAGCCAUCAUACCAGAAAGCUUGAUUCGUAAUCUCUCCCUCAAAUUCCUUGCGCAAUGACAUAUUGUAGUGAGAGCAACUAUAUACACUUGCUAAGAACCGGAAUGUCUUGUUGUUUGGACAUGCAAAAUAAUCUUUCCUGUAAUUUAAUUUAGAUCAAAAGACGAGCAUAUGUGCAAAAUAAAAAUUAAUAAGCAUUGGCAUAAAUUCUGGGAUAGUGUUAUUAUGAACUUACACAUAUUGUUAGGCACCAUCCGAAAAUCCAUAAUCAAAUUAGAAGUAAUCGGCAAUGUUCAUAACAUUACGGUAACACUGUAAGACCUACUAUUUACAUCACCAUGCUUGUUUCACACUACAAAAGAAACAUUUAAAACCUGAACACAUUGGGCAUCAUAGGUAAAAUUGAAUAAUGAUCAAAACCUACACUCUCACUGACGUCAACGUACAAAAUUGAAGAAGAGUAAUGGAAAUGAAUGAUGACAAUUAUUCAGGACAAAUGUUCAACAAACAAAUCGGUUUGCUUUUUCCAUUGCUGUCAAAGAUGUUCCAAGAGAGCUAAAGGUUGACAGGUUUUUCCAUUAAGAGGACAAGGUUUCCAGCUUAUAAAAGGCAAAAGAAAAACAAAGAACGAGAAAUAUAUAUACAACAGCAUAUCAAAAAGGUAAGACCGCAGUAUCAAGUUAUCAAUCAGCAUUGGUCCGUGAAGAGCUUUUAUGGAUGUAAAUUGAUUACCUUUUAUCCUGCGUGCCAUCCCAUGAUAAUUUGCAACAAGGGCAACCUGUGAACAACAAAAGAAUUGGUAAUGACUAAGGUGCAGUUUAAGAUUGAGGUAAUUAAAAAAAGUUGGUAUAAAAAAAGUUGGAAGUUUUUUUGUCUUUGGUAAACAUUCAACUUCAGUUUUUUUUUUACAGUUUUGGGUGAAAAAAAACAGAAAACAAGAAGCUGCAAAACCCAGCUUUGAAAAGUCGGUUUUUUUUUCACAUUUAUUUAACAUAAAAGUUUACCAAACACUAUAAUACUGUUUUUUUUUUUCAAAAGCAUUUUUACAAAAAAGUUUACCAAACACUUUACAGCUUUAUUUCACAGCUGCUUAUUCUCACGCACAGCAAAAAUAAUUUUUUUUCAAUGCACAUCAAUACCAAAUCAGUACUAAGUUUGAAAUGUACGCGACAAAGCCGUCACUGGGACCCAGCACUGCAGCUUUGUCCUACAGUCUUGUCGGCCACUAAUCAUGAGUCUAACAACUCUUUCGGCCAUCCAACAGCUAUAACCAAUGGGUUGUUGAUUAAUCCAACCAUCUAGAUUUAAAAAAUAUUUAUAAUUACAUUAAAUUCAAUAGAUGUAAUUGAAUAUGAGUAUAUACAACAGUAAAAAAUAAAAAAUAAUAAUUCUGAUGGCCUAAUUUUAAAUUUAACUGUUAAAACAAUUAAAAAAUAUUUAACUCAAAUUUCACCUUAAAACUUUAUAAUUAUAUAUGUAUAUGGUCAAACAUCCAAACACAUACCACUUUCCUCAUACAUUUUUUUCGGUUUUUUUUUAUCUUUCUACCCACUUCCCAAAAGUACUUCAUCCUAUUUCUAAAUUUUUCAAAUUGCCAAAAGAUCAUGUGAGAGGACCUGAUUGGUCAAGUGAUGAAAAUAUUGCUUGUUAUUUGGUAUGAAUUUUUAUUAGCAAAGAUGAUGCUAUAAGUACAAACAAAAAUGCUAAGGAGUUGCGGGCUCGUAUUGUUAAAAUUUUAAUUCCACCUCCAACACCAAACAACCCUAUAAAGGUGUUUACGGUCGGUAGAAGAUUAUCAAUAGAGCAUACACCUUUUUAGAAUUUAAAUAUUUUUAGGUAAAAAUGUUCAUAAAAAUAAAUUAGAAUAAUCGACAUAAAUCUUAUUUUUUUAAAAGUUAACGAAAAAAAAUUAGACUAGAAUUAUUCUUUAAUUAUGUGUGGCUUAAAUUUUAAGCCAUAAUCAAUGGAAGAAAAACAAUUGUUUCUAGGUUAUGGCUUUAAAAUUUGUGGCUUAAUUUUUUAAGGUUUAACCAAAGAAAAGGGUUGUGCAUGGUCUUAGGCUUGUUCGGUCUAAUUAAUAUUAGCGUCGCGCACCCAACUCCCAAUUCUAUCAUCUAAUUCGGCUUCUUUGUGUUGUGUGGAGCUUUGGCCAGCCUUAUUUUCACAAGCAUAUAUCACACCUACAAAGUAGAAAUUUGGGAAAGGCUUUCAAGUGAAUCAAAUCUUUAUUUACGCAAAAUAGCUCAGUUCUUACGGGAUUUCAUUAAGCUGAUUUUUUAGUAGCAGGAUGGCAUCUAAUGAACUAUGUCUUCCCUGAUCAAUCUCGCAUCUCAGCAGAGCUUGAGAGGCACAUCCGCGAAAUUCAUACCAUUGUCGGAAAUGCGGUCACUGAAGGGAGAUACAUUGUUUUUGGUGCUGGCUCAACCCAACUUCUCAAUGCUGCUGUUUGGGUUAAAACUUAAACUUUGGGCUCCAAAGGAAGUUGGCCCAACAAAGAAGAGAAAAGCCCGGAGACCAGCCCAAGUCCAGAAGGCAGAAAUGGUCUUUCCCGACUAGGUGCAGAUCAUUUGCACCACUUGCUCACCUACCCAAGGGCCAAGUGGUAUAGACCUGCCAGCUAAUCAGCCCAAAAGUAUUUUAUAGUGGCAAUACAAGUAAAAUAGCUGAUGAGUCACUAUCCUUCAAACCACAUUCGGGCAAGGUUGUCGCUACAGGAGGCUAAGUCAAAAUGUCUAUAAAAGAGGAGAGAGGAAUCAAAGCUCAGGACACUCAAACAACCAAACAAAUACAAGCACAAACUCUGCUCAAAACCAUAUUUGCCUUCAAAACGAAUCUGUAGUCAGCCCAAACCUUCAUCCUUCUCCGGAUAAACCUUUGUAAUAGCUCUGCUACCUGGUCAAGAACCCGUCGUAGUAUCGAUUUCUUUUGUAAACUCAUCUCCCUACCCCUUUUCUAAAAUGCUCUCAACCCCCUUGAUAAACCACAAAGAUAGGAAGUUGCAAGCCGAUCAGCCUUGCCCGACAAGGUUAAACCUUGCCCGACCCUCUUUGUUUUUGUCUUUUCAUUCAUUAGCCUAGCAAUAUGUUGUAUACUACAAAUUGUAUUCAAGUUAUUUAUAGUAAUAUGGCUAUUAAAAGUUUCUAUCAGCACUUGAAUCCGGUUUGAAUAUAUCUUCACAGUUCAAACCAGAUCUAAGUUCUAAACCCUCGGGCAUGUAAGAUUUGAUCAUCCAAAAGUCCUUGGCCUCAAGGCAUAAAAAAAGACCUUAUGUGGACUUAACCCAUCCACGACAAGCUUUGAUAAACAAGAAGUUCGAAGUUACUUGGGGCGCAAGUAAUCGAUCUAUCACCUAGUUUUAUUUCUAUUAUAUUAUGAUUAUCAUAGAACGUUGAGUAUAGAAUGAAUCCUGAUGGGAAGCUUCAAGGCCUACACCUAAGGCCCCACAAAGGCACCUAUUUGGAUUCAUUCUGUCAUUCGGGCUAGAACGAUGAGUAUGGAAGGAAUUCUGAUGGAAAGCCUCAAGGCCUAUCUAAGGCACCACAAAGGCACCUAUUUGGAUUUAUUCUGUCCUUCGGGUUCGGGUAAUCAGAAGUAUAAUGGUUAUAAGAUUUAUAUAACCAAUGAAACGAAUUAUAUGUAUAUAUUCAAAUAUUAAGUUAGUUAUUAACAGGAAGCCUCAAGGCCUACACCUAAGGCCCUACAAAGGCACCUGUUAUAACUAAAAUAGUCUCUUGAGUAUAUACAAUUAAAAUUCAACAUCCGUUUUACAUCUGCCAUGCUGAAGAUGGCAGUGGCACGCCUGAGCACUCAAAAGUUAAUCUUGAUUGUGAGCCUCAAGGCCUACACCUAAGGCCUCACAAAGGCACAUUUCAAAGUUAAUUCUGUCCUUCUCUUUCAGCCUUACCCGACAAGCCUUGCCCGACAGGCCUUGCCCGACAAGCCCGCCAGUAAAGCAGAAGCCUGAUAGAAAGUAUCAACCAGCGCCAACCUCUCGGGGAGCUGUGUGCUCGUCGGCCAGGAAACAUCCCCGACAGAAAUUCUUGCCACGAACAGCUGCAGUUAACGCACUGUCGACUUCCAAUAACUUCAACUCUUCACCUUCAAGUGUUGUAGCUUCAAUUCCUUAUUACAGUGUAAGAUCCGACUUCUGACUUUACAGCAAUGACUAAAACUAUUUAAUAUUGAUAUACAUGAUUUCGAUGUGAAUUUUCACAGCUUUACCAAAUGCAAACGGAGUUUUUCCGAUCAAUGGACUAUAUGUUUCAAGGAGAUGCUGCCUUGCUGCAGAAUACUUCGGAUGCUACUAAAAAUGUUGUUGAGUUUGUAACCUCACCAAACAAUCCAGAUGGGCAGCUGAAGAAGGCAAUUUUUCAAGGCCCGAAUGCUAAGGCAAUCUAUGAUCGUGUAUACUACUGGCCACAUUUUACAGCAAUUCCUGCUCCAGCAGAUGACGAUCUCAUGAUAUUUACAAUUUCUAAACUCACUGGCCAUGCCGGUACUAGAUUCGGGUACUUAACAUACUAACCAACAUUUUCUUCCACAUUCUCCCCACCCUUAAUGUAAAUAUAUCGUUGUAUAAAACAAAAACAUAUUCUUCCACAUCCAUUGAAUUUUAUAGGGAGAUAUUCUGCUUGAAUUUUAUCACCCUAAACCCUAAGUAAAGCCCCUUUAGGCAAAUCAUAUUAAUGUUUUGCCUUGUGCAGGUGGGCAUUGGUAAAGGAUGAGUCUGUGUACCAAAGGAUCACCCAGCAUAUACUCAUGAGUAGCUUAGGUAUUUCUCGAGAUGCUCAGCUAAGAGCUUUGAAGCUUCUAAAUGUCGUCCUUGAAACCGGAGGCAGGGAAAUCUUUAGUUCGGAUACCACACUUUGAAGAAACGCUGGUAAAAUUUGACAAACAUCCUGUCUCUGUCAAACCGCUUUACUCUUCAAAAGUUUGAACCCAAAUACUGCAACUUCUUCAAGAAUAUUAGAGAGCCUUCACCAGGUAAUGUACUAUAACUCAUCCUGUGAUUUUCGAAACAUGCUAGAGUACGUGUGUGUAGGUUACUUAAUUUAAGAAUUCCUGUAUAAACAUAGGACGUUGCACCUUUCAAAGUUAAUGAGAGUUUAAUGUUCAUGAUGACAUAUUUUAUUGUAAACACCGUACAGAAGUGCGCAAGUGUCUGCGUGUAAUGAUUUAUCAAUUUGGUGACAGAAAAAGUGAAAAUUAUGUUUUGACGAUCAAAUGAAUUUGCAGCCUAUGCAUGGGUGAAGUGCGAGAGGGAAGAGGAUAAAGAUUGCUAUGAAGUUCUGAAACAAGAAGCGAAUGUUAAUGGUCGUCCAGGUGCUGAAUUUGGAGCUGAAGAUCGAUAUGUUCGUCUCACCCUCUUAAGGACCCAAGAUGAUUUUGAUUUAUUGCUUCAGCGACUCAACCAAUUGGUCCUGGAUGAAAGUAAGAGCAAAAUAAUUAUUUCUUCUCAAGUAGGGGGUCAAUACGUGACAUAAUCUGCUACAGAGAAACAUUGCAGAAAUUUAGUAGAGCACUACUCGUGCUCCCUUAUGUACGUUUGUAGAAAUAUAGGAGAGCACUACUUGUGCUCCCUUUUGUACGUCUAUAUGUAGCGGUCACCAUUUAGUCUCGUAAGAAAAACAAAGCCAACAAACCAUAUGUAAACCAAUUGAUCGCAAAAUAACUACCUCACAAUCUUUGUGAGCAUUUUUUUUUUCCUGCAACUCUCUUAAACAGAAUUCCUCAGUUCUGUCAACAUUUUAGUGCCCUGAACAUGCCACGAAAUUAAUCAAAGUAUAUAAUGAGAUCAGUACACAACCUUUGUCACUUUGAAGUUCUACAAACAUAUGGUGCAUAUUUACCGUGUAACGCAAAUGGCAAGCUCCAUAAUGUAAAUUUUCCUUGUGCCUUUCGUCUGUGUUUUAAUGUGCGCAAAAUAAGGUAAAUAACAUAUACAUGCUCCAUUUUCUUCAAGGACAGUAGUUGUGAUGACAUUAACAUGAAGCACUAGUACACUAGCCAAGGAGAGGAAAGCGAACUUACCUGACUGACCAAAAUCAGGCUCAGUAGCAUACAUGAUCGCCAACCAGGAUUCAGAAGGAUUCGUGUCAUCGACAUGAUUGUGGUGAAAUGGCCUCAGCAUCCGAGUCAAGCUCCCACCAUCUGCCAGUAUCAUCCUUCGCAAAUUUUCAUUCACAUGCACGCACGCGCGCAAAAACACACCAACAAAAACUUUGAUUUCCUCGUCCUCACUCGCAGCAUCAACCUCACCAUUCCAGUUAUGCAAACUUUGUUCUUCCUCUGGCUUGUAUGUCCAGUCCAAUAUCUUCAACACGUGAUGGUCUUUCCAUUUCCCCACAACCGAAAUCAGCCUCCUUCUUAACCUUUCUACUCAACAUUUCAUUCCAAUAAAAGCUAGAAUCCACCACAACAACCAUCUUCAAACAUACAUCUCAACUUUGCCUCCAUCACAACAUCCACAAUACCUUAAUUAUCCGACAAAAGCAUCACACACUCAACUCUCCUAUGAUUUCUCAAUGCAACAUCCAUCCCCUGUGGUGUAUCCAACACAUCUAAAACCCCUGCCGCCUCACCUUGUCUGCUAAACCACGCCCAAUCUUGGGUGUCAAGACAUCCCUUGAAGCAUUCUUUCACUUGUCCAUCUUCAUUGAAUACUUGCCCACCAAUUUCACCCCCGAACUCCCUCUAGCAGUCUCAAACUGAUUCAACCUUUUCACACGUUCCCUCUCAUGAAUCUGCCUAAAAUCAUUCACAAGCUUUUCAUUAGUAUAAAAUCUCCUCCCACAAACCCGUUGGACUCACCAGCCUUAAUCACAACCCUGUUGCUCUCUUUCGUUUCCCUAACAACUUGUGGAGCAUAAUUCAAUGCAUUCCCUAUCUAGAGGGUAUAAGUUUAGUGUAAUUAAACGAUAUCACACCCAUCUAAAAUUAAACGUUUGAAAUAUUGGAAAUGGUGUCAUGUGAGAAUUUUCGCUCUAAAUCUCAAAUGUUUCACACAGAGAAAGUUAUUUCAAGAAUACUUAAAAUGCUAUUCACUUAUGAUUACUCUUCUCAUGAUCAAAACAACAUGUGAAGCAAGUACCAUGGAAUCAAUCAACAGACCACAAGCUAAAAUAAGUAAACAUUCAGUCCCUGUGGUAAGACCAUCUAAUAACAUAUUGAUAGGCAGCCAUAACAUACCUUGGCUACAGUUGCAACGAGAUUAAGCAUGCUCAUUUUGUUGCAUCCCCAAAGAGUCAGAAGCUGCAUGUUUAUAUGCAUUAAAGACAACACGUCAAACAGCUAAAUGAUAGUAAGUUAAAAUGAAAGGGAAAUAAUCUCCCAGGCCAAUAAAAGUCACUUGUGCCAAUUGAUCAUCCAAUAAAAGCCCUUGAGUCUUAUUAACUAAAUGGAUAUAAAACUACCAAAAAUUCCCAUAUCACAAAUCAACUAGAACGUGUAAACAAGCAAGAAUGCAAAGCUUAUGUUAAUAGGAAGCAAGAAACAGGCAAAAAACAUAUAACUAACAUUGUGCCUCGUGUAUAGGUGAGGAACAAGAAACUUAACAUGAUAUUAGAAUAAUAUCAAGACUGGUAGCAUGGACAGAGAGAAAAUAAUUAGACAUGUUAGGAUACCGAGUAACCCAAAGUUAACCAACUUGAAGCAAGGACAGAGAAAAUAAUCAGCCAUGUUAGGAUACCGACUUGAAGCAAGGACCAAGAAACUUAACAUGAUAUUUGAGGAAGAGGGUUUCUGCUGAUGUAUAUACUUGAUUUAUUUGCAUUCUGUUUUUAAUGGAGCACGAACAAGGUUAACUAAACUAACACUUCUAACCCUAUGGAAACUUUUAUCUUUUCAGUUCUCGACUAGGAACAGCCAGCACCAUGCAAAGUUCCGUCCCCACCCCCCUAAGGUCCAUUAGACCUAUGGCUACACCAAGGGCGUAACCGUAUCCCAUAUACAAGAUAAACUUGGCUAAAGAAAAUAGUAUUUUAUAUCAAGGUUGCAAACACUCGCCUAACUGAUGCCUGACCUCAUUAGCAGCAGGCCAUUUAUUAUCACUAAUCUCCAAGGUCAAUUCAAAACAGCCACCAUUAUGUAGUUACAGUCUUGCAUGCCUCCAUAUAUAGGGUACCUACAACAGGUAUCUUAAGAAACAAUAGAUGAAUAUCAAACCAAAGAAAAUAUACCUAUAAUAAGUCGUAAUGUUUCAAGCCAUCAUACCAGAAAGCUCCAUUUGUAAUGCCUCCCUCAAUUUCCUUGCUCAAUGACAUAUUGUAGUGAGAGCGACUUUAUACGCUUGCUAAGAACCGGAAUGUCUCGUCAUCCGGACAUGCAAAAUAAUCUUUCCUGUACUUUAAUUUAGAUCAAAAGCCAAGUAUGUGCAAAAUAAAAAUUUAUAAGCAUUAGAAUAUAAAUUCUGGGAUAGUGUUAUUUUGACCUUACACAUAUUGUUAGGCACCAUACGAAAAUCCAUAAUCAUAUUAGGAGUAAUCGGCACUGUUCAUAACAUUACAGUAACACUUUCAGACCUACUAUUGACAUCACCAUGCUUGUUUCACACUAUAAAAGAAACAUUUAAAAACCUGAACACAUUGAGCAUCAUAGGUAAAAUUGAAUAAUGAUCAAAACCUACACUCACACUGAGGCCAACGUACAGCAGGAAGAAGUCUAAUGGAAAUGAAUGAAGACAAUUAUUCUGGACAAAUGUUCAACAAACUAAUCGUUUGCUUUUUCCUUUGCUGUCAAAGAUGUUCCAAGAGAGCUAAAGGUUGACAGGUUUUUCCAUUAAGCGCACAAGAUUUCUAGCUUAUAAAAGGCAAAAGAAAAACGAAGAACGAGAAAUAUAUACAACAGCAUAGUUCAGUGCAGAACUUUUAUGGAUGUAAAUUGAUUAUCUUUUAUCCUGAGUGCCAUCCCAUGGAUAAUUUGCAACAAGGGCAACCUGUGAACAACAAAAGAAUUGGUAAUGACUAAUUUCUCCACAUCUGAAUCAAGGAAUCCAUUAGCUAAGAUAGAGAACCACCUGUUAGAAUUUAAAAAAAAAAAAAAAAUUCCUUUGAUUUCUCAGGAACCAAACGGUAGUUAAUUAUGAUCAGAUAGAUUGUCAACUUCCAAAAACAACCAAGAAACUAAAUGAACACAGAUGCAAAUGAACACAUCAUAUAAAAUGAAUACAAAUUAUAUAUGUUCGUGGCAGGAAUUUCCAUUGGGGAUGUUUCCUAGCCGACGAGCACACAGCUCCCCGAGAGGUCGGUGUCGGUUGAUGCUUUCUGCCGGGCUUCUGCUUUACUGGCGGGCUUGUCGGGCAAGGCUGAAAGAGAAGGACAGAGUUAACUUUGAAAGGUGCCUUUGUGGGGCCUUAUGUGUAGGCCUUGAGGCUCACAAUCAAGAUUAACUUUUAAGUGCUCAGGCGUGCCACUGCCAUCUUCAGCAUGACAGAUGUAAAACGGAUGUUUGGGUUUUAAUUAUAUAUAUAUAUAUAUACCCGAGAGACUAUAUUAGUUAUGACAGGUGCCUUUGUAGGGCCUUAGGUGUAGGCCUUGAGGCUUCCCAUUAAUAACUAACUUUAGUACUCGAAUAUAUAAGGUUCAUUUUCUUGGUUAUAUGAGUCUUAUAACUAUUAUACUUCUGAUUACCUGAGCCCGAAGAGCAGAAUGAAUCCAAAUAGGUGCCUUUGUAGGGCCUUAGAUAGGCCUUGAGGUUUCCCAUCAGAACUCCUUUUAUACUCAACGUUCUAGCCCAAGGAACAGAAUGAAUCCAAAUAGGUGCCUUUGUGGGGCCUUAGAUAAAGGCCUUGAGGCUUCCAAUAAGAAUUCAUUCCGUACUCAAACGUUUUAUGGUAAUCAUAAUAUAAUAGAAAUAAAACUAAGUGACUGGUCGAUUACUUGCGCCUCAAGUAACUUCGGACUUCUUGUUUAUCAAAGCUUGUCGUGGAUGGGUUAAGUCCACAUAAGGUUCUUUUUUUAUGCCUUGAGGCCAAGGACUUUUGAGUGAUCAAAUCUUACAUGCCCGGGGGCUUAGAACUUAGAUCCGGCUUGAAUUGUGAAGACAUAUUCAAAUCGGAUUCAAGCGCUGAGAGAGUUUUUUAAUAGCCAUAUUACUAGAAAUAACUUGAAUACAACUUGUAAUAUGCAACAUAUUGCUAGGCUAAUGAAUGAAAAGACAAAAACAAAGAGGGUCGGGCAAGGUUUAACCUUGUCAGACAAGGCUGAUUGUCUUGCAACUUCCUAUCUUUGUGGUUUAUCAGGAGGUUUGAAAGCUUAGAAAAGGGGUUGGGAGAUGAGUUUACAGAAAGAAAUCGAUACUACAGCAAGAGUUGAACAGGGUAGCAGAGCUAUUACAAAGGGUUUAUCCCGAAAGGGAUGAAGGCUUGGGCUGACUACAGCUUCGUUUUGAAGGCAAAUCUAGCUUUGAGUAGAGUUUGUGCUUGUAUUUGUUGGUUUGUUUGAGUGUCCUUAACUCUGAUUUCUCUUUCUUCUUUAAUAGACACUUUGGCUUGGCCUCCUGUAGCAACAAUCUUGCCCGAAUGCAGUUUAAAUGAUAAUGACUAAUCAACUAUUUACUUGUACUGCCACUGUAAAGUACUUUUGGGCUGAUUAGUUGACUGGUCUAUACCACUUGGCCCUUGGGUAGGUGAGCAAGUGGUGCAAAUGAUCUGCACCUAGUCGGGAAAGCCUUUUUCUACCUUCUGGGCUUGGGUUGUGCUUCGGGCUUUUCUCCUUUUUUUGGGCCAACUCCCUUCUGAGCCCAAAGUUUAAGUUUUAACCCAAACAAUGCCCCCUUCAAUCAAUAUUCAGACUGGAAUUCCAGGCGCCAAUAUUGAUUGAAUAUCCGCAUGCUUGUAUACCCGCUCUUGGAACUUGUGUUUUUUAGACAGGAUGCCUACGAUCCUGCGUCUCUUGCUCUUCUCACGACCUUUGGGUUAUCCUCUGAGGUUUCUAUAAAUUCAGGCUUGAAUUUGCUUUUGUUCAGCCAACAAACCUCCUCCAGCCUUCGCUUUUAUUAACCCUGAGUACUUCUGCCUUAUUAGUUUUCUUCCCAAAACUGAGAAAUGAGUUCUUCAGGAUUCAAGUGGGGUUUCCUAAAACUCCCUUUUCGUGAGGAAAAAAAAAAGUUUUCAUCAGAUAACCACUAUCCCCAACACCUUUGGUCAGACACCCCGCUAUCUCCAACACCCUUGGUCAGAUGGUUUCCUUAUGAAGACUUGCCUUCCUGCUCGUUGUCAUGAUAAAUCAGGCUUCACCAUCAUACAUGGUGAUGAAUCUGCCUGAUGAUCCUCUACCAAGCUCAUCUUGCCCGCACAACCUGAUCACCUGAUCGGAUUCUAUCCAUGAAGACAUCAGAAAACCAACUGAGACGCCAUUGCACCUCGAAGAAGGCGAACGUAGCACAUCGGAAUUGAAUUGAAUUUCUUGUAAAUUUCACCAAUUUGUCGAAAUGAAAUAAACAUUAUCUUAACAGUCUUAUGUCUUUCUGUCUUCUUAAAUGACUGAUGAAUAUACACUGCACUUUAGCAUCCUGAAACCUGCUUUACUUUGCAUCCUCUUCAAUAUAACAAUCUCUAACAUCCCAUAAUGUAGGACAAUACUUUUUCAAGAAUUUAACAUUAAUGGGAUGUUUCUGCCAAUUCCCUUCGAGGUCCGCCAAGUAAUAUCCCCCUUUGUCUAACACUCAACUAAUCAUGAAAGGACCUUCCCAUGUCGGGCUCUAUUUUCCAAAGCCCCUAAGCUGAGCUCCUAGAGGAAGGACUGUCUUCCACACCAAAUCUCCUUCCUUGAAAGACUUUGCUUUCACCUUUUUGUUAUAAGCUCGGGCAACAGCUUUCUUUCCUUCCUGAAUCUAGUUCAGGGCUUCAAUUCGGGCUACGUCUAAGUCUUCAAUCCCUUGACACAUGGCUUCGAUAUACUCUUCGCUGUGUAACCCAAACUGAUUUUGAAUUCUGACAGAACUUACAUUGAUCUCCAUGGGAAGCACUGCAUCUUGCCCGAAAGUUAAAGCAUAAGGAGUUGUCCAUGUUCCUGCCCUUUUGGAAGUUUUGUAUGCCCACAAAGUAUUCCCCAGCUUUUCAUGCCACUUUUCUGGACUAUUUAUCACCAUUCUUUUGAUAAUGUUUGCCAAAAUAUUGUUGCUGGAUUCUGCCUGGCCAUUUGAUUGUGGGUAGUAAGGACUGGACUGGAUCAUCUUUAUUUUGUAUCUGCUUGCAAAUUCUUCAACUUCUUUUGAAAUAAAAGAUGGUCCUCGAUCCAUCACUAUGGUUUCGGGCACCCCAAAUUUAUACAGAAUCUUGGUCUCAAUAAAUUUUUUUACUGCAGCUGAGGUUAUGGAUUUUACAGCGAGACCUCUACCUAUUUGGUAAAGUAAUCCGUUGCUACAAUUAUGAAAGUGUGGCCCUUGCUAGAAGCUGGGUAGAUCUGCCCGAUGAAGUCCAUUGCCCAUCCUCUGAAGGGCCAAGGCUUGACUAUUGGAUUUAAAGGUACUGAGGGUACAUGUUGGAGAGGACCGUGCCUUUGACAUUCCUCACACCCUCGGGCAUAGGAAUUGCAAUCUUUUUCCAUGUCGGGCUAGAAAUAACCAUACCUCCUAAGUAACCACCUCAUCUUCGUUUCAGCCUGAUGUGUUCCACAUACUCUUUCAUGUACUUCGGCCAUCACUCUCAUGGAUUCCUCUUGGCCUAAGCAUUUUAAUAAUAACCCGUUUGGAGUUUUCCUUAGCAGGUCUUUUGCCCAUAAGACAUACUUAGUUGCUUGCUGUCUAUUUUUCUUGCUGGUGGGCGAAGAGGGAUCUUUAAAUGAUGGAUGAUGGGUGACCUCCAAUCUUCUAUCUCAGUUUCUAGAACCAUUACAUCCAGACUGAAUCCUCUUUCCAGGAUAGAAGGAAGAUUUCUUCUUUGAAUCUCCACAUCCAACCCAUAUUUUCUUUCCUGUAUUGGCAUGCCUGAGGCUAAUUGCGCAAUCUCGUCGGCUGCUAGGUUGGCUCCUUUGGGAACAUGACUAAUUGAUAUCUCAGAAUCCUAAUAACUCAGCAAAUGCAUGGCCUACCAAGUAAUAUCCGACCAUGGUGAUAUGUCUGCACUUGAACUCCCCAUUCAGCUGGUUUAUUACCAAUUCUGAAUCACCAACACCUCUACCUCUAUUGCCUCCAGAUCUAUCAAGAUUUCCAACCCAAUUAUUAAAGCCUCAUACUCUGCCCGAUUGUUGGUAUUCCCUUGGUAAUCUAAGAGAAAUGAGUAAUAAUGAUAAAUCCCUUGAAGGUUGAUAAUUACAAUCCCAGCUCCUAAAGCCUUUUGAGUAUAGGAACCAUCAAAAUAUAGCUUCCAAAGAGUAAUCCACAAACCAGCCACUCUUCUUAUCUCCUGCUGGAUUCACUCCUCUUUGCCCGAGAUCCAUUUGCCUGGCGGGAUCCAAACAUUAGUAACCUCCAGGGUUCCUGGUAUAUUGAUUAUCUCAUCUUGAGAUUCUUGAUGCUCCGCCAAGAAGUCAGCAAUUGCUUGGCCUUUUACUGCCCUUUAAGGGACAUACUGAAAGCUGAAUUCUGAUAAUGCUAUAAUCCACUUCCCAAUCCUUCCUGUUAACAUUGGCUUUGACAACAUGUACUUUAUCACAUCUGUCUUGGCGAUGAUGUGCACGUGACAAGGUAACAUGUAAUGCCUCAGCUUAUUGGCAGUAAAAUACAGAGCUAAGCACAAUCUUUCUACUGGGGAAUACCUUGUUUCUACCUCGGUCAGGAUUCUACUGAGGUAGUACACUGCCUGCUCUUUCCCGCCUUCAUUAUUUUGAGCUAGCAAACUCCCGAUUGAUUUAUCUGAAGCGGAGAUAUGUAGCUUUAAGGGGUUUCCCCUUUGAGGUGGUACCAAUACUGGCGGAGAAGUCAAAUAAGCUUUGAUACUAUCGAAAGCCUCUUGGUGUGGUGGUCCCCACUCGAAAUCUUCUUAUCUUUUAGUCUUAGUAAAGGAGUCAGCGGCUGGAUCUUGCCUGCUAGAUUAGUAAUGAAUCUUCUCAAGAAAUUAAUUUGGCACAGCAGCCUCUGGAGUUGCACUUUGUUGGUGGGUGAAGGCGACUCCAAUAUUGCCCGCGCUUUGUUUUUGUCCACUUCUACACCUCUUUGAUGAACCAGGAAUCCCAAUAAGUUGCAUGCUCUCACUCCAAACGUACACUUCUUUGGAUUCAUCUUCAAUUUGUGGAUCCUCAUUCUUGUCAAUGCCUGCCUGAGGUCUAUCAGAUGCUGCUUUUCUGUCUUGGAUUUCACCAUGAUGUCAUCAAUAUACACCUCCAUAUUAUGGCCAAUCAGAUCAUGAAAGAUGGCAUUCAUUGCCCUUUGGUAGGUUGCACCAACAUUCUUGAGCCCGAAUAGCAUGACCAGAUAUUCAUAUGCCCCCACAUGCCCAGGGCACCUAAAAGCUGUUUUAUGUAUAUCCUCUGGAGCCAUCUUUAUCUGAUUAUACCCGGCAUUUCCAUCCAUAAAAGAUAAGACUUUGUGUUUUGCUACUGCAUCUAUGGAUAAAUCUCCCAUGGGCAUGGGAUACUCAUCUUUCGGUGUAGCGCCAUUAAUAUUUCUGUAAUCAACACAACAUCGUAUUGCUUUUGUUAUGGCUUUUAAAAUGGGUACAAUGUUGGCUAACCACUCCACAUAUUUGGCUGGCCUGAUAAAUCCGGCUUUUACUAGCCUCUCAAUCUCUUAUUUGACCUUCUCUUCUAUCUCCUUCGACAUCCUUCGUGGUGCUUGCUUAACCGGCUUAUAUCUUUCCUUGAUGGGCAUUAUGUGUUCCACCAAGGUUGCAUCUAAACCUGGCAUCUCAAUGUAAUGCCAAGCAAAACAAUCUCUGAAUUCUUGCAAGAGACAGAUAAUUUUUGCCCGAUCCUCACUCUCCAAUAAACCACUGAUUUUUAUUGGUCUUGGAUCCUCUUUUGUUCCUAGCUCAAUAACUUCCAAAGGAUCUUGGACCUCUGGUGGUGGCUUAUCAGGUUCUACACACAAAAAUUCAACUAGCUCCGGGCUCUCGGGUAAGUCGUCUGGCCCAUCUAGGUCAUAUAUGCACUCGGCCAUUUAAAUGGCCCUUUCUAAUUCUUCUCGACAAGAUUCCUCCUUGCUUUCAUCCUGGCUGGUUGAAGCUCCUACCUGCCAUUCCUGCUCUUCUCUGUCUAAGAGCUCAUUUUCUUGUCUUCUUCAUUUCCCAUACAUCAACAGUCGUUUAAUCAGGGAUCUGACUGCCAUUACCUGAUCUUUCCUUUUUUGUUCUGUCAUUGAUGGUGUAGGGGUGUUGGGACGAUACAAGGUCUAUCCCACUCUUUUCUAGUAAGGAACAAUCCUUGUUCUAGAAGCUUUUGGGUCGUCACCUUGGUAGGGCGUACGUUCUCAUCUGCUCCUGAACACUUCAAGAUUCCUACGUUGGGAUUGUAGAAACUUGCUUCCGCUACAUUGGCUGUGGGAAGAAAUGGCCGUGAUUCGGCCUCUACCAUCUCCCAAAAGCCUGGCCCUUAUGCGCUUGCCUCAUGAUAAACAGCCACUUCUUAAUGUAGAGUGGAGGGUAUAGCAAGACUUUGGUGGAUCCAAUCUCUUCCGAGUAAGGCUUCAUAGGUGGAGGUGUAGUCCACCACAAAGAAUGCCAGCAUGAUCUGUUUAGACCCCAAAUCUACUUCUAAAGGCAAUAUCCCAUGAGUCUUAGUGAUAGCGCCCGAGAAACUAGAAACUAUGAGGUCUGUAGGAAUAAGAUCCUAUGUGCCUUUCCCCAACUUUUUCAUCUGCUUAGCCGGCAGUACAUUACCAGCUGCUCUUCCAUCAAUCAAAAUCCUUUUGAAGGGCACCCCCUCCAAAUGAGCUGUCACAUAUAUGGGCUUCAGAUGAUUGGCAAGUGAAAUGUUUGGGCAGCUGAACACCAUCUUGUCUGUAUAGAUCCUUAAAGGACCCUCCUUGGAUGCUUCAGAUGAUUCAGCUUUUCCCGAUUUUCCCUCUUCAGCUAUCUCCACAUUGACGUGAGACAUCAUUGGCUCAAUUGUUACGUAAUCUCCUUCCAUGGUGGCGGGCUGAUUUGGUUGGGCACCAAACAUGGUGAAUAGCACAUACGCCAUGUUUAUAUGAAAGUUGCUAGGCUCCGACAGUUCUUCUUUCUUGCUCCCAAUGUGGUCCAUGAACUCAUCCAACCAAGCCAUCGCAUCUGGUGGAAGCAGUGGUUCUGGUGCCCCCUCUAGUUAAUUCACACCUGAAUAUGGUGUUUGCUUUGGAACUUCCCCGAAGGGAUCCACUAAUGAUAGAGAAGGUUGUUUUUUCUCAGGUGAGACAGUUCCAAAACAAAUAGGCUGCUCUGUCUUCCAUCCGGGAGUUGGCACCAUAACCAUAUCUUCUUGAGCUCUCCUCAAGAUUCUAUAUUUCCCAGGGUGUGGGCUUUGUGGCACAUGGUUUCCUUCGCCUUCAGUCUUGCUAUUAGCCUUUUCCACCUCAUGCUUACUCCUCCAGCGGAGCUGACUACUCCCCCCAGAUGACGUUUUCUCCAACUUUUGAUUUUUGGAUGCUUCUGACGUCGCAGGGGUUUUUAAGGAAUUCAUGUAGGCUUUGUGUUGCCUUUGAACCCUUCUGACCAUGGAGGCUCCCAUUUGCUUAACGGGCUGUCCAUUUUUCCCAACCACAUACCAUUUUUGCCCGAGGCGGGCAGGAUUAUCUUUUUUGACAGGGUUUGUUAUCCUAUCAUUCCUCCUGACCUCUCUUCCCUUAUGGUCGUACUGAGAAUGCUCUACACCCCUCUCUUUUGGCUUCUUAGUAUCUUUAUCCUCUGCCUCCUCAGAAACUUCAUGGUUGCGAAAUAUCUCUGAUAAAGCCCUCGGUUGGGAAUCUCCUCCUAACCGCUGAAAGACACUUCGGGAGGUAUCCCUUCCUGUAGUCCGCCGAGCUUUCUCUUGUGCCUCUUUUCUCUUUUCUUCUUCAUUCCUCCUGAUCAGUUCAUGAUCUAUGAGGGCUCCUGUGGGUGGUAUUUCGAGCUCACACUCACAUUGGCACUUACUGCACAACACCAUCCCUUUGAUUAUGGCGGCUCUUGAAUAUUCGAGCAAGUAAACCACCCCUUUUAUGGGUUUGUCAACCAGUUUUCUUUCUUCUUCCCUUGUGACCUUCUCUUUCCCCUUCUCCGCCCAGGCCAUACUGAUCAUAUUUAUAGGGGCCUCUGAGAAGGGAUCCGUAUGUUUAUUCGUCACCGCUGCUUCUUCUGGUUGGUUGAUUUUAAAUCCCCUUUUCUCCAUAUCAUAUUUCUCCCCAAUGUGAGGUAAAGAUAUAGGAAUAGGUGGUCUUAGAACCGGGCCAUCUUCCUUUCUGGACCCUGCGGACGAGUUCUCCAGUCUUUGUAGCAUGUGCAACAAAGCAGUUUGCAAAUCUUCUGAUCCCUUUGACAUACUUCUUUGAUCAAAGAUGUCCCAUUGGGCGUGCCAAAACUAUGUUCGUGGCAGGAAUUUCCGUCGGGGAUGUUUCCUAGCCGACGAGCACACAGUUCCCCGAGAGGUCGGCGCCGGUUGAUGCUUUCUGUCGGGCUUCUGCUUUACUGGCGGGCUUGUCGGGCAAGGCUAAAAGAGAAGGACAGAGUUAACUUUGAAAGGUGUCUUUGUGGGGCCUUAGGUGUAGGCCCUAAGGCUCACAAUCAAGAUUAACUUUUAAGUACUCAGGCGUGCCACUGCCAUCUUCAGCAUGGCAGAUGUAAAACGGAUGUUUGGGUUUUAAUUAUAUAUAUACCCGAGAGACCAUAUUAGUUAUGACAGAUGCCUUUGUAGGGCCUUAGGUGUAGGCCUUGAGGCUUCCCGUUAAUAACUAACUUUAGUACUCGAAUAUAUAAGGUUCAUUUUCUUGGUUAUAUGAGUCUUAUAACCAUUAUACUUCUGAUUACCUGAGCCGGAAGAGCAGAAUGAAUCCAAAUAGGUGCCUUUGUAGGGCCUUAGAUAGGCCUUGAGGCUUCUCAUCAGAACUUCUUCUAUACCCAACGUUCUAGCCUGAGGAACAGAAUGAAUCCAAAUAGAUGCCUUUGUGGGGCCUUAGAUAUAGGCCUUAAGGCUUCCAAUAAGAAUUCAUUCCGUACUCAAACGUUCUAUGGUAAUCAUAAUAUAAUAGAAAUAAAACUAAGUGACUGGUCGAUUACUUGCGCCUCAAGUAACUUCGGACUUCUUGUUUAUCAAAGCUUGUCGUGGAUGGGUUAAGUCCAUAUAAGGUUCUUUUUUUUAUGCCUUGAGGCCAAGGACUUUUGAGUGAUCAAAUCUUACAUGCCCGAGGGCUUAGAACUUAGAUCCGGCUUGAACUGUGAAGACAUAUUCAAAUCGGAUUCAAGCGCUGAGAGAGUUUUUUAAUAGCUAUAUUACUAGAAAUAACUUGAAUACAACUUGUAGUAUACAACAUAUUGCUAGGCUAAUGAAUAAAAAGACAAAAACAAAGAGGGUCGGACAAGGUUUAACCUUGUCAGACAAGAUUGAUCGUCUUGCAACUUCCUAUCUUUGUGGUUUAUCAGGAGGUUUGAAAGCUUAGAAAAGGGGUUGGGAGAUGAGUUUACAGAAAGAAAUCGAUACUGCAGCAAGAGUUGAGCAGGGUAGCAGAGCUAUUACAAAGGGUUUAUCCCGAAAGGGAUGAAGGCUUGGGCUAACUACAGCUUCGUUUUGAAGGUAAAUCUGGCUUUGAGCAGAGUUUGUGCUUGUAUUUGUUGGUUUGUUUGAGUGUCCUUAACUCUGAUUUCUCUUUCUUCUUUUAUAGACACUUUGGCUUGGCCUCCUGUAGCAACAAUCUUGCCUGAAUGCAGUUUAAAGGAUAGUGACUCAUCAUCUAUUUACUUGUACUGCCACUGUAAAGUACUUUUGGGCUGAUUAGCUGGCUGGUCUAUACCACUUGGCCCUUGGGUAGGUGAGCAAGUGGUGCAAAUGAUCUGCACCUAGUCGGGAAAGCCCUUUUCUGCCUCUGGGCUUGGGUUGUGCUUCGAGCUUUUCUCCUCUUUUCUGGCCAACUCCCUUCUGAGCCUAAAGUUUAAGUUUUAACCUAAACAAUAUAUAUAUAUAUAACUCAUAUGAAGAGAUAGGGACCUGGAGGGUAGGAAGUAUGAAGGCCGCCUCUAGCAGUAGCAGGAUGAAGAAAAGAGGAGAAGUUGAGAGAGAGGAAGAGGAUGGAAAUACCAAGCUCCAUUCUGUGAUCUUUGAGGUUGACUAUGGACACGAUGGAGCUAGAUUCAGGAAGCCAUUGUUGGAACUUGGAAGGAGUUAAAGAAGAUGAAAACGUAACGACGAAGAUCGGAGAUGCUGGAUCGCCCGAAAAUGGGCUGCAAAUUCCAAUGGGAACAAAGAAACGGGGACUUCGAUGUAUGGGUUGCAAAUGGAUCUCGGCCCAUUUGUUAAACAACUGUUGUUUGGGCCUAAAUAAGCCAACACACCUACCGGAUGAACCGUUCAAACCGACCGAACCAAACUAAAUUAAAACCUGGGGCGUUGUGAUAUAAGUGCUUGAGUUUUCAACUCUAUAGACUACAUAUAUGUUGGUUUUAGAGAUUUAAUUAAACAUUUUUCCUACAAAUGUGGAGUCUCAUCUAUCAUCAUACCUAUCCUUUAUGUGUACCAAAAUUACAGAUCUUACCACGGCCUAAGUCUUCACGUCAGGAAAAAAAAAUGCAGGGAUAUUGAAACAAAUUUCCUACAAUCUAGCUCCUUUGAUUCCCUCUAAAGAUAAUUAUACAAAAAAAAAAAAAAACUAACGAAAAGUCCAAAAAAACUUCCCUUUUAACGAAAAGCAUUUUUUAAAGGUAUAGUGAAUAGUGACAGUUAAAGGUAAAAAUGUGGUUUUUCAUUAAAAGUGAACAGUACCGGGAGUGUUUUGUUAAAACUCCCAAAAAAAAUGAUUAUAUACAAUUUAUUAAGGAAUAAAAUACCCUGCCUUUUUAUUUUUAUUUUUUUUCCUUUCAAUGAAGAAAUAAAAUACCAUUUAAGAUAUUUGUAGUAAUCCAUAUGCAAAUUUUAGUAGUAAUUCAUGUAAGAAAAUAACAUCGAGAAUAAUACAAACGUACCAGUAAAAAUUAUAUGUAUGAAAACAAACCAACUAAAACCGGAAAUAAACAUACUAGUAAACAACAUUGAAGAACAAAAGUAAAUGUACCAAUCAACAAUAUAUAUAAUAUUAAUCGUACCCAUAUUGUAACAUCCCACAUCGCCCAGAGCACUCCCAAGAUGGGUGACCUACUAGGAAGUUGCUCGUGAGUUCUCAAAAACAAAACCGUGAAGGAAUGGUAAGCCCAAAGUGGACAAUAUCGUGUUAGGGUGGUAGAGCGGGCCUGGGAUGUGGUGGAUCCGGGCCGAGAUGUGACAAAUGGUAUCAGAGCCAAUCCCUGGUCGGAAGUGUGCCGACGCGAACAUCGGGUCCCUAAGGGGGGUGGAUUGUAACAUCUCACAUCGCCUGGGGGAGUGAUCCUUAAAUGUAUAUUAUCAUCCUACCUAGCACGAGGCUUUUUGGGAGCUCACUGGCUUCGGGUUCCAUCGGAACUCUGAAGUUAAGUGAGAAGGAGGCCAAAGCGCUCUCAGGAUGGGUGACCCACUGGGAAGUUGCUCGUGAGUUCCCAAAAACAAAACCGUGAGGGAAUGGUAAGCCCAAAAAUGACAAUAUCGUGCUACGGUAGUGGAGCGAGCUCGAGAAGUGAUCCGCCCCGGACCGGGAUGUGACACAUAUGAUACUAAAUGGGACAAUCCAUAAUGUAUACAAAAACAAUUGUAACAAAAUAGUGAAAAAAACCUAUCAAUCAACAAGAACAAAACUAAAUGUAACGGAAGCAAAAACUAAACGUACCGAAAGCUAAAACAAAUUGUUCCAAAAGUUAAAACAAAACAUACCAAUCAACGAUAUGUACAACCCAAAAUUAAAAAUAAACGUACCAAUCAAUACAAAACCAAUAUAUGAUAACCAACAAUAAACAUACCAUUACAAAUUCAAAUGUAUACAAAAUAAUUAUCUAACAAAAAGUAUACUAAAUAAUAAAGAAACAAAAAAAAUCUAAGCAUCCAUCAUUUCAAUUAUUUUUUCAAUUUUUGGAUAAAAAAAUGGCCGGAUAAAAAAAAAUCUCUCAACUAAUUAAAAGGACAAAUUUAGAAAUCAAUAUGUAAAAUUUUAAUUUAAAAAUUACAAUUAUUAUUUUUAGUUUUAAAAAAAAAAGAGAAAUACUUAUGUGACCUAAUGUACCAAAGCGCCUUGAUCAAAAUUCUAAAAGGGAUGAAUGUGUUUAAUAAAAGAAAUUCAAAUUUUGAGCAUUUAAAUCUAAUUAACUCUUUUUUUUUAUAUACAACAAUACUUUACAUCAUAGGGUUUGAAUUAAAUUGAAGAGAAAUGUCACUAACUAUAUUAGUAGUGACAAAAUUGAUUUUGGAAGUAGUUGUCUAUUUUUGAAGGGAUUUACGACAUGCUAAAUGUAAUUAUGUAAAUUUUUGCCUGUAUUUACUAAUUAGUAAGGAAUUUGAAAAAAACAUUAAUUAUUCUUUAAAAUUCGUUAUCAAAUACCUAAAAAUCGGGAAGCAUAUUAGUAAGGUGCCAUUUGAUCCGGUUCUCUUUUCUUACUUUUCAUAUUUUCCAACUUCUUUCAUUCCUUGCCGCUCAGUACUACGGUUUGGUGGUAUUCAUCUUCACUUGGAAAUGAGAAGUCUUAGGUUCAAAUUGAUGUGAUGAAAGUUAAGCACUCAAAUUAAACCCUCUUGUUGUCAAAUUGUAGUAUAAAUGCAAGUAGGGAUCGUUCUAAACCGGAGAUUAGGAGGGCUUGCUAAAACCUCUAAACUUACUCAAAAACAUAAAAACAAAGUUAAAAACGUUUGAAUAGACUCAAGGGACUCAAAACAGAUUCUAAAGACUCAAAACUGCCUAAAAAAACACAAACUGGGCAGAUUUGACUCUAAUACAAUUUUGGACGAAUUUAGUGUUUUGGUUUGAAUCAAAACACUCAAAAACACAAACAAAACCGAAAUUUAACACUUUGAAACAAGAAAGUAAAAUGGGGAUUUUGGUUUUGAUGAAUUUGAAACAAACAAACAAGUUAUAAAACUAGGCAGAUUGUAAGACAAAUUUGAGGAAUACGAUGAUGGAUGGAUUAGUUAGAGGUCCAUUCUUCACACAUGACACACUUGUACAUGAAUCGAUUUCCAAUUGCUUUUCAAUAAACUAUUAUGCUCAACACCCCAGAUUAACCGUGAUGCACAAAUUAACCCUCAUAUUUUCCUUUACUCAUUGAAUUGGAUGAAUGCAUGCGACAACCCAAAUCAUUCUCUAAAAAUCCCCUAUAUGAAUGCAUAAUAGAGAUACAAUCAGAGAUCAUUACGUUCAAUGAAAAUCAUAAGUGUUGACGAGGCAAUUAUAACGCGAUUGUGAUAAACAACCUUCACUACUCAUGAAUAUAAACUUGUAACGAUUAGGUGAAACUCAUUUAUAUUCUAGCAUCUAAUUCAUGCAUGAAAAUUAAGUAUGCUUCCUUAAUAAACAUACAAGAAUCAGUUAUGAAUAAAAUAGAUAAUUGAAUUGCAAUCACAACUUAUCAAAUCACAAUUGGAAGAAAUCAAUUCAUAUCUCAAGCAUGUUCAUGGCUUCAAACUUCCCCCUAACUAAAUGGGGGUUUAGCCACUCAUAAUUGCAACAAAAUCAGAAAAUGAAUUUAACAUUGGAAACAAAAGAAAGAAAACACAUAAACGCUCCAACGAUCCAAGUUGAAAGCAUGCACGUCCAAGCACUUUCCUUUCCUUCCUUUGCUACGGCACAAGGUGUUGGUGAGUGUUUGAAGGUUUGUUUGUAUGGAGGAAUGGAUGUGAAGAUGAAUGGAUGUGUUUGAAUGAAGGUUGUAUUGAAAUGGGAGUGAAUGAUCUAAGAAAAUAUGAACUCCAUUUAUGUUACACACACUUCCUUUUAUAGAGGAAGUGCAAGGCAAAGCAUGGGUAAAAUGGAGUAGUGUUGAAAUGAUUCAAAUGUGAAAGUGGAGUAAUGAUGCAAAGCAUGGGUAAAAUGGAGUGGUGUUGAAAUGAUUCAAAGGUGAAAGUGAAGUAAUGAUGCAAAGCAUGGGUAAAAUGGAGUGGUGUUGAAAUGAUUCAAAGGUGAAAGUGGAGUAAUGAUGCAAAGCAUGGGUAAAAUGGAGUGGUGUUGAAAUGAUUCAAAGUAAUGAUGCAUGAAAUCUGAAAUGAUGGAGGGAACAAGGAAUGGUGUAGCAAUUAAGUGCAAGGAGGGAACAUGGAUGAUGAUAAGGUAAUCUUGACUCAUGUUUCUUCUUUGGUUGCUGAGCUCUUUGUCAUUUUUACAUUAAUUCUUCUUUCUUUUUAACACAUUCCAAGCCUCUUUAGUCUUCAAUUUUGUCCAUCCACCUUGCUCCAUGCAUGUGCUAUCCAUUCCAAGCCCAAAACUGCUCCAAAAUGCAUCUUAUUGCUUUAUAAGGCCUAUGAACCUACAAACACACGAAAAUAGCUUAAAAUACAUAAUUAACUAAGAAAUAACAACAUAAAUGCAUGAGAACAAGCUAACUCAAUCGCAUAAAUAUGCUCCUAUCACAAAUCUCGUGGUUGGCGAAUUCAAUACCAAAUUUGUGUGGCUUAACAGAACUCUCAUUUCUCUUAGUGUAAAAAUAUAUCAAUGUACUCAAAAAGUUAUUUCAUUCCUUUAUUUUCUCAUUUAUGAUAAGCAAACAUUGAAUUAAGAGAUAUGGAUCCAAUAUUACAUAUCGUGUUUAUGAACGAGCCUUGGUAAGAGUCACAACCUAAUCAUGAGUGAAAUCGUCACAUGUGUAGUGCCAAUGUUUUCAUGCAUAAGCUCACUAAAGGGUCUAUUUCGUUUUCCUACCUCUCAGUUGGUCCAACUAGGUCCGAAAGUACUCCUAAGGUAAAGUAAGGCUCAAGGAAUACAUCGUGUUCACAACAUCAUAACAAUAAUAAGGAAAUACAAUGAAAUGGGUUUAGUGGAGAGCCUUGUGGCGUAGUAAACAUCAAUUUAGGUCAUGAGGACUAGAGGCAAUGUUGACCAACUUCUUAUGUCAAGUUUCAAGGGGUAACAAUGAUCAAAAUCGAGUUGCAAGAGGCUAAGUAGAGCGAACUAUGAGUCUAAGGGAGUAAAGUGGCGAUUUUGAGUUACAUGGAGUAAAGUGAGAUUAAAAUCGAGGGUGUAACUAAAAAUAAGCCCAUUUGUUUACUUUCUUGGUUUGGUCAUGUAAUCUAAAGGUUGUUUGGUUAUUUUCCAAUAAAUAUUGGAAGGCAGACAAACUCGUAAAUCAUUAUGCAUUGUGUUAGUGAAUCGUGCUGAGAACAAGUCAAUCCUAUUUAGUUUCUGCACAAGGAAGGGUACAUGAAUCAUGCUCUAGAUGUUUCCAAUAUGUCAUCAAAUAGUUUGGAUUGCAAUUGUCUCUGAAUCAAUUGAGGUCUACUAUAAAACCAAUUAGCUAUAUGGAGAGUAGUCUAACUACUUAUAAACUCAUGCAAGAUUCUUUCUCCCAUCAACGUAUGACUCAUUCUCAACAUGCCCCUCAUAUGUGAUAAAUUUUCAAGUCUAACACGUGGACAACACAACGGGGUGACAUCAAGCGUGUGUGGUCGUUUUACCGUUUAACUUCACACGUGAAACAACUUGUUCUGGUACCAUGAAGAAAUUGAGCUUCCACCAUAAAACCAAUUGACUAUAUACAGGGCCGACCCAGGCCCAAUGCGGGCAGGGCGACCGUCCAGGGCCCAAAAAAAUUGGGGGCACCAAAAUUAUUAGGAUGAUAUAUUUAUAUAUGUUUUCAUAAGAGUAUACAUUUAUAAAAUUUGGUUCAAGGACAAAGAAAUUUAACUAGAACUAGUGGUUUUGUUGUUUGAAAUUAAUGAGGAGGUCUUGGGUUCAAAACACCGUGUGUGCUUAUUUACUUUUCAAUUUUUACGAAUUUUUGUUUGGUUGUUAAUUUAUUUUUAAUUAGUAGCUAGUAGCUAUGUGGGUUGUUAUUUUUAAAACAUUUGUUCCAAUUCAAGUCUAAUCUUCAAUAAAGGGUAAUGCGUUGACCAAAUUUUUGGACCAAAUUUGAAAAUCAUAUGACGUGUACCCAUUUAUUACUUAUACAUAUCAAUUAAAGACUAAAAAAAUAUCAUUAUUUUUUUAGUCCCAUAUUGACAAGGUUAGUAAAUAAGAAAAAAAACCUCACGAUUCAUACAAAAACACUUUAAAAGUUUAGAUGGAAAACAAAACUCAUAUCUAUCUACUUGUAAAUCCGGAGUUUUUUUGUUUCCUUCUCACGAUACAAAAUAAAUUAGUUUUUCCGUGUUUCUAAAUUAUUAAGUUUGGAGUGUUUUUCUAAGUAUAAUUUUAUCGAUGUCUUACGUAUGAAAACAAAUAAUUUUCUUAUAUAAAAUGAGGGCACAUUUUGUGGCGUCGCCCCGGGCCACAAAAAUCUCUAGACCGGCCCUGACUAUAUACAAAGUAGCCCAACUACUUAUGCUUAUAAGCUCGCGGAAAAUUCCUCUUCCCAUCAAUGUAUGACUCAUUCUCAACAUACUAAGUAGGCUACAGAUUUCAUACCAAAAUCGAAAACCCUUAUCAAUUGCAUCUGACCGAGAAAAAAUUUGGUGAGCCCUUGAGUCAAGGCUACACUAAAUUAGAGACUUUCUCGACCUUCCCAGGUAUGGCAGAAUGGUCCAAAAAAGAAUGAGAGAAGUUUCAUGGUGGGUGACAUAAAUAUUUUCCUCUUAACAAAACAAAGAGACAUGAAAUCCUUUUUAGAAGAAAGUUGGGAACUUUCUCGAAAAUCUUGCACCCAAUCACUUUGGUGAGGAUAAAUGUUAAAGGAAACAAGGAAGCUUCCAAGAAAGUUGGUUUUCCACCUUUGUUUUUUAUUUUUUAUUUUAUUUUAUUUUAUUUUAUUUUUUGUGGAAAAUAAUUAUCCUUCCACUUUAGUCGUACACUAGUUAUUUAUACCCGUUAAAGUAGAAUGAAAUGCUAUAUUAAAGACUUGAAAAAUGAAUUUGCAUAGCAAUAACAACAUUAAUAACAAAGUACAUGGAAAAGUGGGAGAAAAGCUUGAAUUGUGAGAAGAUAGGGAUAAACAUGAUAGUUUAUGAUUGGAUCACAUCACUUAUAACUGUUUUUGGAUUAGGAUGAUCAUAUUUACAAACAAAAAAUUAGUAGAUACUUUCAUACAGGAAUACAAAAAAUAUUGGAGCUAUAUAUUCUACUUUAGCUGUUCUUUGUGCUCUAAAAACUAAACCAGCUUCUGUACACAAAAAAUUAACAAAUGCUGGUAUACGAAGGUGUAAAAAAUAUUGUCCAGCUUUGAGCAGAAAGUGGUAUUUACAAACCACCAAAGAUAUUAGACAAUGUUUAAUACAAAGUAGGAAAAGAUGCAAAAUAUACUGUAGCAGAGGAGGAAACGUCUUGUAGCAGGAGCAUUAUCAGUGUUGACAUUGAGAAACCAUCCUGUACAGAGAGAAAUAAUGCAAGGCAUUUAGACAGUGAUUAAGUUCACAACUGAGUAGUUUUGAAGCAAAGAAUUUAGCAAAAUGAAACCAUACUGACCUAGUUAAUUUUUAGAGGGACUAUCUGUUUUUGCAGAAGCUGGAGGUGAUUUUUUUUUCAGCAAUUUGAUAGGCAUUUCAUCAAAUUCUUUCGAGUCAACUUCUGAAAUUUCUUUUGCUUCACUGUUUUAAAUGACCAUGACUAAUGAGCACAUUUAAUUGGAUAAAACAUAAAAAAUGUUGUCCAACUAUAAUUCGUAUCUCUUUACUCAAAUUUUUUCACGCCCCGAUCCCGACAUACGUUCGGGAUCGACACGUGACGUCAUCAAAUAACCACAUAUCUAACAUACCCGUCCCCCAGGAUAUGUAUCAAGCACAUGCCAUGCCUCGAAUUGCAUAGAAUUUUUCGUAUACUUUAUGGCUGCAUCUAACCUCCUCGUUAAACUGCCUACGUACUCUCAAUAGGGAUCAAGCCAUUCGUAGUUCACCAACCACUAUAAUUGACAUAUAUCACAGUCCGUUUAAGCCGAAAGGCAUAACAUUUCUCAAUCAAUCAAUAGAACUUGACAAGCAUGAAAUUACUAAACUUAGGGUUGCAUAACAAACCCACAUGACAUUCAAGGUUUCCAUUUCAUCCAUCAUAUAAAUCCAUAUGAUUUCAACAUGAUACCUCCAUCCACAGCAUGUAACUUAUCCAAUAACCAACGAAGCACAAUAUUAUUCUCACACCACAUUGAUCACUAAAAUAAUCAUAAUAAUAACCAUCAUAUCCAACAUCACUCCACAAUCCCGUCAAUUAAUCCAUUCAUGAAUCAAGGAUGCAUGAUCUUAGCAUUUAACUACAUUAAUCAAUCAAUACGAUAACAUAUCAUUUCACGUAUUUAGUUAAAGAACUCUAUAUAAUUCCUUACUUGGUUUAUGAGUAAUAACAUAGUAAUUCUAAUUUAUAUUCACAAGGUCUAUGGAUAAUUCCCAUUCACUCGAAUCUAGGUUCUAGACUAACUGUUUGGAAUGUGCAAGAGUAAGGAUUCCGGACCACUCAACGAAAUCCAACCACAUCGGGUUCCGGACCACUCAACGGAACCAAAAUAUCAAGCGAUUUCUUAUAAUCUACUCAGACCUGUCAUAUGCAAAAUUAGUGCCUACAUCAUGGAAAUGGUGCACUGGGCAAUUCAGAACUUGGAUAAGUUGUGAAGCUCAGGUGAGCGACAAUAAUACAAAGUGUGUGAUAAUGGUGAUAAAACCAACCGUCAAUCACAGUUUAUAAACUUUGAAUAUAAAUCAUUCAUAAGAAAUUAAUACCAAACAUUCGCAAACUCCGAAGGAGUCACCCAGACAUCCAAUGGUUCGUCUGAAACAAUCACAACAUCUCACACCCAUAUUCUCAUAUAACACCAUGACAAGUAGGGUUAGAGCAACAUAGUUCGGCCGAAGCCUACAUCUUUGAAGCUGAAAACAAAGACACCAAAGGGAUUCUGGACCACUCAACGGAAUCCAAAUUAGGAUACGAUUCCGGACCAUCACUCAACGGAAUCGCGGAGUAGAAGGGAUUCCAGACCAUUACUCAACGGAAUCCACAUUAAAUUAUGAUCGCCUAUCAAAAUGUACCAAGCACAACUAAUCAUCAUCCCCUCUAAAAUGCGUAUGGUCCUCAAUCGCGGAUAUACCAAGCAGAACCAUAGGCAUAAUAUCUUCGUGCAGGUAGUGAUCACCCAUUGCGGAUAUACCAAGCAUGAUCACUCCUGAAUUCAUAUGAUCCCCCAUCGCGGAUAUACCAAGCAGGAUCAUCUAUUUACCUUUGCUACAUGGGGUAGUUAGAUCAACACACAUACAUCAUACCACUUAUCCACAUCUCAACCCCUAUGAGUUACAACGUAGCCAUCUACACCAUCAACUUCUCAAGGCCAUCACUAAUAUGUCACUCAAGUAUAUAAGUGCUACAACAUACUUCUAAUAGGAUUCUAGGAUCACAUUGUGUAACAUCCCACAUCGCCCAGAGGAGUGAUCCUUAAAUGUAUAUUCACAUCCCUACCUAGAACGAGGCUUUUUGGGAGCUCACUGGCUUCAGGUUCCGUAGGAACUUUGAAGUUAAGCGAGAAGGAGGCCAGAGCACUCCCAGGAUGGGUGACCCACUGGGAAGUUGCUCGUGAAUUCCCAUAAACAAAACCGUGAGGGCGUGGUCGGGGCUCAAAGCGGACAAUAUCGUGCUACGGUGGUGGAACGGGACCCGGGAAGUGAUCCGCCCCAGGUCGGGAUGUGACACAUUGUCAUAAAAAUAAUCAUACUCAUCAUUCACAUUACUAAAAAGAUAAUUAAACUCACAUAUAUCACAACCAUCAUCAGUACACAAGCCAAAUCAUGUUAAUAAACAUAUGUCUACGACUAAAUAUAUAAAAUCACAUUUAUAACACCAAGCCAUAUUCACAAAUGAUAUAAAUAUAAGAAUUUAAAGUAUCUUCAAUUGUAGAAUAUCCAAGUGGUGGACCUAUCUAAAUAUACUCAACCAACAACAUUUCAUAAAUCGAAUGCCACACAUCGAAAAAUUUGACUUUUUUCAAAAAUUCUCAAAUUUUACAAGAAUGAAGAUCUCAAUAAGGGAAACAUUAUUCACAACUAGGCCAACAACAAAUUCUAACCGGAAACCAUCCAAAUUCAUCGGGGAAAACCGGAUUUCUAGGGUUCUAAACACCAAACUCUAAAACGAAUACGAAAACACAAACCAAGCAUACCAACUUGGAGAUUAUGAAGAGUAGAUGAAGUUUCAUACCUCACUUGAAUGAAAUGGUUGCCGGAAUCACCGGAAAACCCACGGGACUUUGCUGCCUCGAAUUGGAAAAGUGGAUAAGAAAAUGGGAAAUCUAACACCACAAGGUUGUAGGGCUCGUCAAGAGCUUUCCAUGGACACUAAGAUCACUCAAAACGGAGCUCGGAUGAAGAAGAUAUGAGCGGGUCAACUAUGGUGGUUCGUGGGUCCAAAAUGACCCAUUUCGGGUCUCUCUCCUUUCCCCUUCUUUUUCCAUUUUUCUGAUUGGUUCUUCUCCCCCUCUAAAAAUCUGGUUGGUCCCCCCCCCCUUUUUUUUAAAAAAAAAAAACUAACUUAACCUUUAACCCACAUGUGGGAAUUUAAUAAUUCCCACAAUCUAUAGUUCACAACUUCAAACGUCCAUAACUAUACCGUAUAAUUCAGACUCGCAAACGGCUUUCGCCUAUGCGUUCGUGAUUUCGAGAUCUCUCCAAAAAUAUAAAUUGUGACCUCGAAAGGUCUACGAAUUUUAGAUAAUUACUUUCUAAACUUCAAACUUCGUAACUAAUUUAAUUAAAACCUAAAUCCAAAUAAAUUAAUAUAAUUUCUCAAAAAUAACAUAAAAUCUCAAUAAUACAAUUACGUAGAUUAUAACAGUGAAAUCCAGGAACGAGAUUUUACAAAUUUUGUCUUUAAAAAAAAAAGAAAAGAUUCUUGAUAGGUAUAUAUUAAGCAAAGCAAGAUAGCCAGAAGAUAUGAAUAUUUGAACACAGGGAAGUGAAAUAAAAGUAUCAGAUUUUAUGGUACUACGGAUUUUGAAUCUAUACCUUUGUUCACUGCCAGUAAAAAGAGCUUUCCUCACAGACUCCCUCUUUCGUUUAUUUGAUUCUCCGCUUGUUUCAGGUGGUGAGGUCGAAGAUGAUACAGUAGUGGAAGAUAUUGCGACUGCUCUUGGUAAGAUUUGUGGAGUUAUUGGUUCUAUAGCUGUAUCAUCGGACACAUUAUAAACCAACACAUCACUUGAGUUGAAACUAUUUUUUCUAUUUCCGAAUCGCAAGUGGAAAAUCUUCUUUUGUCCAAUCAGUCGCAAAAACUCAUUUGACAGUUGUUGUUGGUUAAUCAAUCUCUGAUUCAUGACCAAAUCUUUGCAGGGCAUACCAAAGAGUUUUUCUCCAGCUUUGCCAAUUAUCAAAGCACUAAUUUCAUUAGUGAUGUCUUCAAGAAUCAAAUUAACUUUGUACCUAUAUUUAAAAACUGAAUUCCAUGAGUUUUAUUUUAUUUUAUUUUUUAUUUUUUUUAUGGCUUAUAACUCAUUGUUAACAAUCAGAGCAAAGAAGUUUAAAGAACAGAGGUCACAGAUUUGAAGUCAUUUUUUAGUUGGAAAGAAACAACAUGGAAUUGAAAAUCGUAGAAAAAGUAAAAAAAAGACAGAGUAACAAACUUGCAUAUUGAAUGUUACCAUGGUGUUGGACUUUGGUUGGUGUGUUUCUGACAGAUGAGUUGUCCGGUCGAUGGGUCCUUGUGCAUUUGUUUGACACAGCUAAGGCAAGCAUUGUACCACCAAUCAUAACGUGUGUCAAAAUGUUUGACAGAUGCUUUACAUAGGAAUGUAUCAUUUUGUUAAAUGUUUUAUGACACAUGUAUCAUAAAAGAGCAACAACAAAAUUAGUUUUUGUUCAAUAUGUAAAAAUGCAGGUAAAUGUUUUUUUUUAAAGAUAGAAAAGCAUAAAUCGUUUGUAUACCUUAUACAAAUCAGGAUCCAAAAAGGCCAGCUCGUCUAUUGUUACUCUUCUUGCUGUACGCAAAAUUUCAGCCUCAUUUGCCUGCCUUGAAGAAGGAGGCAGUAUUUUUACAGGGACUUUACAGGUUGAGAACCUGCAAGUUUAAAAAGAAAAUAAGAAAUUUUGAAAAAUCAACAUGUUUAGAGGUUUGAACAUGAAGGACAAUUUUAGAAGUGCACUAACUUUGAUUUAUAUGAGUUAACCUCCAGGAUGUCUGAGUCGAUGAAAAAAAGGGAGGAGCCAGUACUAUUCAAGACGAUGUUCUCUGUUGAUGGCAAAAAAUAAUAACAUAAUUGUAAAACAAAUAUUAGCAAAUAGGGUAAAGUACAAAAAACUACCUCAACUAUUAGUGUAACGACACUUUCAUACCUCAUCUUUUAAAAUUGACAAUGUCAUACCUCAUCUUUAGAAUUUGGUCCAAUGUUACACCUUUCGUUACUUGGCCAUUUACUUUUCAGUUAAAUGCUGACGUGGCUUGAUCCGGAACCCAUAAAAAAUUAUUAAAAACUAAAAAAAUAUAUUUUAAUAAUUUUUAAAUAUUAAAAAAAAAUUAAAAAAAAUUAAAAAAAAAAACCCUUCCCUUCCCCGCCUUCUCUCUCUUCUCCCCCAUCUUCAUCUUCUGUCCCCUUCCAGCUCCCUUGAGGAGGAGGAAAAGAACCUAAAAAAAAAAAAAAAAACCGAACCUGGGUUCAACAAGAAAAAAAAAGAAAAAAAAAACCCGAAUCUAGGUUCAACAAGAAGAAGAAGAAGAAGAAGAGGAAGAAGAACUGGGUUGCUCCGGGCGGGGGGGGGGGGGGGAACUGGGUUUGAUUUGGUUUUUUUUUUUUAUCCUCCUUUUUCUUCUUCUUCUUCUUCUUUCGCUGGGGGGGUUUACUGACGGGUUUUUUUUUAAUAACUUUUCUUUAUUAUUUUAAUAUUUAAAAAUUAUUAAAUGAUUUUUUUUAGUUUUUAAUAAUAUUUUAUUAAUUUUUUAAUAAAAAUUGGGUCCCGGAUCAAACCACGUCAGCAUUUAACUGAAAAGUAAAUGGCCAAGUAACGGAAGGUAUAAAAUUGGACCAAAUUCUAAAGAUAAGGUAUGACAUUGUCAAUUUUAAAAAAUAAGGUAUGAAAGUGUCGUUACACUAAUAGUUGAGGUAGUUUUUUGUACUUUACCCUAGCAAAUAUCAUAGAUGAGUAAAUGUUUUUAAUUGGAUGAUAGAUGUUUAAAUGCGAGGAAAAAAGUGUAAUGGAUACAUAUAAAAAUGUGGUAAAAUAAUUUGAACAUGCAAUGCUAGAAACGAAAUACAAACUGUAACAAACAGGUUCUAACAUUUUAUAAAUAAGAAAUAAAAAAGAAAAAAAAUAAGACAUCUAAAUUCUGUCAUCAAGAGUAGCAAUCAAAUACACUAAAAUUCCAUAAUGAUAAAAGAGUGGAACAGUUUAUAGCAAGAAAUGUAAGAACAUAUCCAAAUAAAGAUAGAAAAAGUGGGUUUUAAUUAAAUGAGCUACCUAGGUAAAUCUUGACUUUUAAAUUUGUAAAUACAACAAUAAUCGGCAAAGACAACUUCUGGAUCAAUAAAGAACAAAAAGUUUCUACAAUAUUUGCCCACAAUGUAAUAGACAAUUCUUCUUUUCUGUGCACAAAACAAAUGAGAAACAAACAGUAAAUUUUCUUCCCAGCCUAACAAAGAAAAUGAUAUUAACAAAUUGGAAUUGCAACAGUUAAAGAAAAGAACAACCUGAUAUUCUCAAUGUGUAUGUCACUUUUGCGCUAUUCUUUGAUUAAUCUGUUUUGAUUCCAAUUGCUGGACCGCAGUUAUACGGCCAAUCACAUCUUACAAUUUAAAAAGUUAAUACAAAAAUAAUGUGAAAACUCAUUUUAGUGAAAAAAACAACAUAAAUGUUUUUAAUUGAUGGACAUGUAGAUACACACACACACACACACACAUAUAUAUAGACAGAUAUACACGUAUUGAUGUUACCUGUAAGAAUAUCAUCUUUGUUCAGACGGGGAUAGAGCAUGUUGAAAUCUAGUAGGAAAAACCGAUGUUGAAGGAUAGGUGGAAAGACAGUAGACAAUUUUUUAAACACUGUUGUACCAAUGAAUAUAACCUGGGUUUCAUGCGACACCACUUUAUACCGUCCUCUGAUUUUGAUUGUGCUAAAAUUCAUGAUUUCGUAACAACUACCAGCGUCAAUCUUUGAUGCUACCAGUUCACAAUCGAUGUCUGACGUAGAUGCUUCAACCGCAUUGUUCUUUGUAAUUGAUCACACGCCAUAUUAAGGAAAAACAAAAAAAGAAUAAUAACAGAAUUAAAAAACACUUUAGACAUGUUAAAAAAUCAAACUGUUAAAUAUAUAUAUAUAUAUAUAUAUAUAUAUAAACAUAAAUAUAAAUUAACAAACUAACAAAUGAAAAAAAAAAUAAUAAUUAUGACAUAACUAUAACUGUUAAAAUACUUAAUUUAAAUUAUGGAACAAUGAUGGCUUACCAUUUCAUCAACCAAGAUACACUGUAGUGUUACGUAUUUGCAAACAGUUGCGGAAUGCUAGAUUUCCAUAUCCUACAGACACGAACCUUUAUUUUCUCCGCUUUAAUGUAAGGACGCAAUUCUGCAAAAUGGGUGACCUUAACUGUUUCCAUUGAAUCUAUUAAAAGAGAAAUAAAUUUUAUAAAUAUAAGAAUCAACAUAACACAAAUCUGUAAACAAAUAUGAAAGAAAGGAUUGAUUUCUUUCAUUCCUAAUUAAAUAAAUGGUUAAAAUAAUUUUAACAUAACUAUUACCGAUAAGCACUACAUAAACUCGAAAUUCCAAAAAUAAAAAGGACUCAGAAAAGAAAUAAGCCAACCAAAAGUAAUUAAAGAACUAAAUUUGACAAAAAAAAAUACAGUUCAUAUUACAAUAGUAAGACAAAUGAUCACACAUUAACAGAUGACAAAGAAUAACUAUUAUGAAACACUUAACACAUUAUGGAAGCAGUAAAACAAUAGUUGGAAAAAGCAAAUUAAAGAGGAAACCAAAUAAUCAAUUACCAAAAGUAAAACAAAAUGUGAAGCACUUGUCCCAAAAGGGAAAAGCAGGGCUAAGGUGAUAUAAUCAAUUACUUUCCCACACUGCAAAUGCAUAAACCAAAAAGAAAAACACUUACUAAGUUAGUUUUAAUAAGUUAAGAAAGAAAUAAAAGACAACUAUGUCUGUCAGGUGGCAUGGGUGUAAACUGUUUUUUUUUUCCUUCCAUAAAUAUAAGUUUACAUUAAUGUGAAGCGGAAAUAAACACAAAUUUGAAACAAUCAGGUAUCCAUGGUACUAAGCUAAAUUUCAAAGCAUUGACAACAAAUUUAAUAUUCUAUAGCCCCAAAGGAUCACCAGACAUUUAACCAACUAAUUAAUAAAGCAUUUGAGCAUCACAUGACUGAAAACCUAAAUCUCAAGCUUUAUAUAUCGAUGUGCACGGAAAAGAACUAACUUGACAACAAACAAUAUUAAUGCAAAUGUAUAGAUAAAGAAAGAAAUCCAAAACGUUUGAACACAAUUGUAGAACAAAGCACAUCGCAUUGUGAUCUUGAAUUGAUCCCCCACUAACAAUCUAAUACUGCGAACUUAUUUAAGUUCAAAAAUAAUAUAAGAUGUUAAACCUGAAUUAACAAAUAUACAACCUAUAUAAAAAAAUAAAAAUUAAAAAGUAAUUUUAAUUAAGUAUACAAAAUUGGAAAGCAGGAUUUAAUAUGGAAAAAAGGAUACAAAACUGGAAUCUAAGUAUCUGUCCCAAAGGUAUAUUUACCGUUGAAAGAGAAACCUAAAUUGCUCACCCAGAUUAUUAUCAAAUAAGGAACGUUUGAUAAAAGCAGCAAAGCAAUGUUUCAAAAGGGAUGACUCAAAAAGAAACCACAUAUUACAAAGACACAAACAUUACUUAUCGAAAGCAGAACAAAACGUCAAACACGUGUGCAAGCGGUAAACUGUAUAGUCAAGGAGAUAAUAAGAAUUUUCCCACAUUGCAAAUAGACAAAUUAAAAACAUAAACACUUAGGAAAUCAUGUUUAAUAAGCUGAAAAGGAGAAAAAAGACUAUACUUUUCUUAGAUGUCAUAGUUAGAAACUGUCUUUUAAUCCAGAAACCAAACUCAUCCAUUAGGAAUGGACAGCCAGCCUGGGCUCAUUAAAAAGCUCAACAAAAUAUAGAACCAAAGACUUACCCAUCAAUGCAUAAGUAAAGGAUUAACAUAAAAAAUAAAAGAGUGAAUCAUAAAAAGCAAGACCGCAAGUCACAAUUCUAGAAGAGGAAAACAGAAUGCUCACAACUAAAGCAACGGUAUCAAUAUUGUUCUACUAAAUUAUACGUUAUAUGAUGAGCAUUAUUUUGAUUGAGAUAUCUCACAUGUCAAAAAGUGAAGAAAUUCCAACGAAGGUGACAACCACAUUAUAUAAAGAAUAAACCUAGACCUAGUUGAACACGUAUAAUUUGUGAAAAAUCACAGGUUGCAUAAGGAAGAUUUUGAAAUAUGCAUCUCAAAACAGAUACCAUCUAAUUAUGCUGCUUCACAAACAAUGUUGCCGAUGAACUUAUGCUUCUCCCUUAUGCUGGAUUCGAAUGAUAUAAACUAAGAAAACCCCAUAUUAAAAAUCAAUAGCCAAAUACUAAAUAUACCAUCUAAUUCACCAAUUGCAUCCUCUGCAUCUCUAAUGUGAUCCAAGUGAACAAAAGCAUAACCCGGUGGUCUCCGAGCAACCCACACGAUUCGAAAUUAACAAUACAAAAGAUUAACAACCAUCCUCCAUAAAAAUAACACCACUUUAUGAAUCUGUGGGUAAAUGACUACAAACAUUACAAAAGGUGUUGUUCUUUUCGUCGAUAAAUUGCGGGAUUCAUCAAAAUCCGUCAAACUCCCACUUCAAUUUUACAAAAGCAACACAGAAAACAAAGUUUAACAAAGGGGCACAGCGACAACAAAGUUGCAACAGAUUGAGGAAAAAUGUUGAAUCAAACCAUUGGAUAACAUUUUCUCACGCACCCAAAAAAACCCACAAACUGAAAACCACAAAAAUCCAGUCUAAAACAUGGAAUGAUAUACUUAGAUGCACAAAAGAUAAACUAACAAAUUCAAAACGAAAUAAAAAUAAUUAACAAUAAGCAAGCACACCAUCCUUCGAAUUAAAAGCACAUAAUUUCAAAACUCCUCACCUUAAACACAGAUGUCUUCGCAUGGUGCAAAUAAAAACUUACAUUGAUUUCAUAUUUUCCGAGCAACUCAGGCUGCACAAUUGCACAAAACACCGACUGAAAGCAACAACACGAAAACUUGCGACGACUCGAAGCAGGAAUUUUUUAGGCAAAAAUGAUUUGAGGUGUGAGAACGACCGCGAAACAAAGAUGGAAAUAAGAGGAAACAAAAUGGAACAAAAUAUACCCAAACAAAGUACCACGCGAUGACCAACACGUGGGCCUGACAAAACUAUACUGCAACUGUGGCAAAAACAAAUACAACCACAAAAAAAGUGAAACGAAGUUUAAUUCCGUCAAAGACAACCAAACAAAGGGCAUUGGUGUAAUUUUACUGUACAAAAAGCUAAACCAAACGGAACAACAACAUCAAAACGGAGGACAUUUUCGUCCGUGAAUAGUAGCGCGGUUUUGGGGUUUUAGUAUAGGUCAAUGACUAAAAUAUCGAUAAUAUCUGCGAAAUAUCGUCGAUAUUAUCGUUUUUCAGAGAGACCGAUAUUUUCCCAUGUAUCCCCCUAAUUGUCGUCAAAAUAUCACGAUAUUAUCGAUAAUAUCGCGAUAUAUUCGAUAUUAUCAAAACAAUCGUCGUGGCUCUGUCGUCGGAAAGGCAGCCGAGGCUGUGUCGUCGCAGCUGCCCAUAUCUCUCUCUGCAAUCCAGGCUUAGACACAAGAUAUGCACCUCUAUCGUCAGAAAUGAAAAAUCUAUUUUCUUCGGAUCCCAAAACCCGUUCGGGUUUGAAUCAAACAGUUUGAUGGAUCCCCUUGCCUGAUGGUGGUCCCCGGGAGGUGAGAAAGGGAGGAGGAACGGUCCACAGGUGGUGAUGGUGCUCGCCGGAGUGUGCGCCACUGUGGUGCUCGACGGGUGUGGGUGUGGUGGUCUGUGCUCCGGGGGAGAAGAAACAAAGACAUGAAUGAGGGAGAAGGUUCGAAGGAUUGGGGAAGGGGGAAAUACGGGAAAGUGGGGUGUGUGUGUGUGUGUGUGUGUGUGUGUGUGUGUGUGUUUGCUCUGGGAAGAAGACUUACAGAGAAAAGAUGAGGGGAGAACCGGAGAUGAAUGAGGAGAGGAAUGAGGGAAAAGGAAGUGGUAUGUGCGUGUGUGUCUGUGGAAGUGGGGUGUGUGUGUGUGUGUGUGUGUUAUCCGAUAGAAGAAAAAAAAAUCCAAACCUGUUUCAAAAUAUCCAGCCCAUGUGUCAAUCUGUGUGUGUUAUCUGAAAGAAGAAAAAAAAAAUCUAAACCUGCUUUCAAAAUAUCCAGCCCACGUGUCAGUGAUCGUGAGGUUUGGUCUUAAAUAUUUUCACCCUGUUUUUUGAAGUUACUGGAAAUGCAAACUUCACGCAUGCAACACAGGAUGAGGACCAUGGCAGUAGGCGGGUAGGACCAAGAAUUGGUGCCAUAGGGAAGGACUACACUCGUAGAGAAAGAGGUAAGGGGACUUUGUCAAGUCAAGAAGAUGACUCGUUAUUUAUAACUUCGGACUAUGUUGGAGUGGGAAGUAGUAACUAUGGUUAUACUCAUAACCAACCAUUUCCCUACCCUUCAUAUCACAUUCCUGUUGGGAUGAAAUUGAGCGACUCGUGGAAAGAAUCUGAGACUCAAUCUUCAAAUGAUUUUGCUUAUGGACAACGUCAACCAAUCUCGGAUUCAUAUGGGUGGCAUGUUAACAAUUACAUGCAAAACUAUUUUAGGGAUUUAUCAUUUGAUGACUACUCUUCACAAUACACUUACUCUACACAUAGAGAUUAUGAAGAUAGUCAAAAUUUUGAACCUCAUAGGAACUUUAUGUGGUACUAAGUCACUCAUGUAUCUUACCAUGUAAUGUAUAAAUUGUAAAAUAUUGUACUAAUUCAUUAUAUAUAAAUGAUUAUGGUGUGUUUAAACUUGUUUCAUUAAUUACUAUAUAUUUUCUAUACUCACAAUGUUUGUCAGCUCGCUAUAUAAUCAACUUAAAUCAGUUAAAUUCAUCAUGCAAUGCAUUUCCUUCCAAUUUUUUGUGAUAAACUAAUAGAUAAUUAACUAAAUAAACAUUCUGCAAAGUUUCAAUAAAAAUUUCCAAGUUUUUCUUACAAUUUCCGUGGUUUUUAUUCAAUUUUUAUCGAUAUCGAUAAUAUCUGAUAUUUCCAUCGAAAUUUCCGUGUUUUUGAACUACCGAUAUUUCCGAUAUCAUCGAUAUUUAAUACCUUGGUAUAGGUAUAAAACACAAAGAAAGUACCACGCGAUGACCAACACGUGAGCUUGACAAAACUGUGAUGCAACUAUACCAAAAACAAAUACAACCAAUAAAAAAAGCGAAACAAAGUCCAAGCCAAGCAUAACCUGCAUAUAGCUAGGGGUGGAUUUUUUUGCCAAAUUGUCGUGCCAAGCGAAUUGUCAACCGUGCCAUACCGAUUUUGUGCCAAAUUUUUUGUACCAAUCGGUAAUGGUACGGUAUUGUACCGUACCGAAAUUUCAUAGUACGGUAUUGGUAAUGGAUACCAUUACCACGGUAUUACCGUACCAUACCGAAAAUACAAUAUAAUAUAUCAUUUAUAAAUUAUAUAAUAGAUAAUUAUAUAACAUAUUUAUAAUAUUCCAAUAAUUUGAAAAUAAAACCCUACUUAUAUUAGCAUUGUUGUUGGUGACUUGGAUAUCUUGAAAUUGUGGAAAUCAAACAUAAAAGAGUUCCUAAUUCUUUCAUAAAUAGCCAAAAUAUCUUUGUAACCCUCACUUCUACUGUUGCUAGUGAAAAUGCAUUUAGCCUAGGGAGGAGGGUUGUGGACCCUUUUAGGGUAUCCUUGACUCCUAAAAUAAUGGAGGCACUAGUGCAUACUAGUGGUUGGCUUAGGGCAGAUGAAGUAAACUUCUACAAGGAACCAACGGAAGAUAUGCUUCAAUUUUACAAGGAAAUGGAAGAAGAGAAAACAAGAAAGAUAUGCUUUAAUUUUUUCAGUAAAUUUGUUAUUAAAUGGUUUUCAACUUUAAUUCUUCUUGCUACUAAUUAAUAUGUUUUCUUUGUUUGUAAUGUAGGCUUGACACAAACUCAAUCUUCUACAAGUUCAAUGCCUCCUCCAAAAGCUUUGACAUCUCAAGCUUGAAUAACUGAUCAAUGAAUUCUCCUUUUUGAAGUUUACUUCCAAUUUUCAUUUGCUUUGAAACUUUAAUUUCUAUUUGGAUUGUUAACUUCUAUUUGUUUUGGUUUGUAACUUCUAUUUGGAUUGUAAGCUUAAUUUUCAUGAUGAAUCUUGAUGCAUAAUUUGAAUUAUUAUGUGUGUGAAUUGUGAAUGAUGAAUUUAAUCUAUAAUGUAUGAGAUAAAGGUACCCAAAAAAAGUUUUUCCCUUGAAUUGGGUUAAAAAAACAAAAAAAGAUUUUGUCCCAAAACAAAGUGGCGAUUACCAUUGCCAUUUCAUGCCAACCGAACUUUUGGCAAUACCGAACUUCGGUAUACCGAAAGUUUGGUAUGGUAAUGGUAAUAGAUUUUACCAAAUCGAAAGUUUUGUACGGUAAUUGGUACAAGGGUUUUGGUACGGUAACCGUACCGAACCCACCCCUACAUAUAGCACCAAAUGACGGCAAAACUGUAAAUUCACUGUUCUAAGCAGGGAAAAAAAGCCUCAGACUCAGCAGCAGUGAAGGGGAAUUACGUCAAAACACUGUUAUAGAACAGUACCAAAUCAAAACACUGUUAUAGAACAGUACCACCCGGUUUGGGUUUUGGUAUAUAUAAAUUUGUUAACGCGCUCCUUUUAGCUUUUCCUCUUGAAUGAAUAUUGGAAAGUGAACAGCUUUUGCAUCGGAAUUUCCUCGUUGCUUCUUUCAAGGAGAUUUACAUUGCAUCGAAAUAUUAGAGCGGUGUGGCUCAAUUAUCUCAAUUUUGCAUCCUAUAUUAACUUUGUGACAUAACAACACGUAAUAAAUUAGUUAUACCGUUGUCUUGACGUUCCUAUUUCACGUUAGAGGAAAAAAAAAUAAUGAGUGUUAAGUGUAUAACCAUUUCUUAUCCAUAGCUUCUAUUUCUUUUUCUUUUUUUGGACCAUUACCAACUGUUUUUUAUAAGGAAUUUUAUGGUACUUGAGAAUAUGAGAUCUCCGAACGUUUUAACCAUUAAAAUCUUUGUUUAAAAAAUACAAAUAUAUCAGCCACUUAGUACUACAGUUUAGUUGUAUUCCUCUUUACUUAUAAGUAAGAGAUCUUAGGUUCGAUUCUCAUCAAAUGCGAAUUUAAAUCACAUUAUUGCUUGCUAGCCCAUUGUAAGGCAAAACCCAACCCUCCCCUUAGUGUAGACAAUAUUGUUUGUUAAAAAAAAUACAAAUAGAAAAAUAUAAUAGUUAUAACACCCGAGUAUCAAUUUAGUACUACGGUCUAGUAGUAUUCAUCUUCACUUGUAAGUGAGAGAUCUUAAGUUCGAUUCUCGCUAAAAACAAAUUUGAAUCAAAUUAUUGCUAACCGAUUAUGAAGCUAAGCUCACUCUCCUCUCCUUUAGUGUAAAAAAUAUCGUUGUUAAAAAAAAAUAUAAAAAAUAUAAAAAAAACCCGAGUAUCCCAUACUACAAACCAUCCUAAUUUUUUUUUGUUCUUCUCCCACUUUAGGAUUUAGGUAAACAAUUAUACUAACUUUUCUUUGUCAAAGAAAUAAUUUACCAUCUGACACUAUAACCCACACUAAACCGUGUGGUCACCACCACCACUACUACCAAUGGAAGUACCCAGGUUGUCCAUCUCUCUCCCGUUUGUUUCCAUUACUACCUCUCUGUCUCUCAAUUUUCUUUCUCCUACAACUUUGCCGUGAGAAUUCUUAGUGUGAUUUUUUCUGCUCUUUUUCUUACCAUUUGUCAAUUACACAUCUAUGUAACACUUAGUCUUCCUUUCUCUGUUUUUUAGGAACCGAAAGGCGUAUGCUGCCUUUCUUUUUCUCUAUAAAAAAACUGAAUUAAAUUCCGAUUACAAAUUACUCCGGUAUUUACUAAAUACUAGGGAAUCAAUAAUGUGAUGGACCCCACCCGAAACAAGGAAUGCAAUUCCUGAAAUUGGAGGAGUGGAUUCCUUGGAUAGAUUAGGUAUUUGAAUUACAUGAGGGUGAGGGAAUCAGGAAUGCAUUUUUUCUUCCUAUUAAGCCUUCAUUCACAUCAUGCACAACUUCAUACUCAUUCACAUCAUGCACAACUUCAUACUCAUUCACAUCAUGCACAACUUCAUGCACAUGCCAAAAAGAAGAAACUACAAUUUGAGCGAGAAAAUUUAAAUAUUAAAAUCAAUACUUAAAUUUAUAAAAACAAAUAAACAAAUGCAUUUUAGUGUGCCUACAAAAUAAAAAAAGCAAUUUAAUUUUUUUUUCUUACUAUUAUAUAUUAUAUCAAAUUUUAUUAAAAAAAAGUAUAUAAAAUAUUUGAUUUGGAACAAGAGCAUUUUAAUAAUCAUACUAGUUUAUAUUCCGAUUCUGCUAAAUUAGUAAACAGCUUUAUGGAAUUAGUAUCAUUUCUAUUCGGAUUCCAGAACAUUUAAGUAUACAACUUCAACAGAAAUUCGAUUCUAAUUUCUCAUUAAUUUAAUUCCUUCUAUUUUUAUUACAGUUACGUAAAUGCAUCAUUAGUUCUUCUUUCUCUGUUUUUUAGGAACCAAAGGGCGUAUGCUGCCUUUCUUUUUCUCUUUGCUGGUGGGAACCAAAAGAAAAGCAUCCAAUGCCUUAUAAUGCUGCUGCUUUUGUUUGCUUUCUCUGUUUUCAAGGAACCGAAAGGUAUAGGCGGCCCUUCUUUUUCUCUAUGCUGAUGGGAACCAAAGGAAAAGCAUACAAUGUCUUGUAAUAUUAUCCGAUGGAUGACUUGAUUAUAAUUUUAUAAAGCCCUCUACGUUAAAAUUUGGCCAAAAUGGCAUCAGUCUAGUUAAAUAUAGCCCUCUCUUAGUUAUUUUUUCGAUUCAUCUGCUCAGUUGCAAUAACUGAUAACAUCAAAUGGUAGUUUAACUAAAUCAACCAAUAAAUUUAAAGUAUGAACUGAAAAUUAAUAAAUUAUUGAUAGGUCAUCUCUAGGCCAUUCGGUUGAAGAUGAUAUAUGAGUUUGACAUGUCAUUGUUUAUUCAAAAAUAUUUUUUUGCAUAAUUAUAAUUCUAAAUGAGACUAUGUUUAGCUUUUUCGAUUGGAGAUUGCCUAAAGAUCUGCCAAAGCGAUCAAACAAAGAUCAUUUAACCGUGGUUAGUGUGACCAAAACUUGAAAGUAGAAUUAACUAAACUGAAAGUUUUCUCAUAACUCUAUGGUUACACCAAAGCUCACCUUCCUUGCCUUUUUGCAUUGGUAAUGAACAAAUUAACGGAAUAUGAUCAGAGAGAUACAUGAAUAUGGACCUAGCUUCUCUGCCCUCCCAGUUCCCAUACACUCUCAUCCCCUCCUAUUUGUGCGGUCAUGAUUAAGCCACAUCAACAUUUUAUAUUACUAUUGAUUUUUGUCUUAUUAUCUCUAUAAAAAAUCAAUUCAGAAUAUAUAUUCAUGGGACCUGGCUUCUUUGCCCUUCCAGUUCCCAUACAUUCUCGUCCCCUCAUAUUUUGUGCGGUCACGGUUAAGCCACAUUAACAUUUUAUAUUACCAUUGCUUUUUGUUUUAUUAUCUCUAUAAAAAAUCAAUAUAAAAUAUUAACAUGGCUUAACCGUGACCGCACAAAAUAUGAGGGGACGAGAAUGUAUGGGAACGGGAAGGGCAAAGAAGCCAGGUCCCGUGAAUAUAUAUUCAGAUAAGAAAGUUGGGAACUUACACACAAGUCAGAAGUCUUGCAUCCAAUUGCUUUGGUGAGAAAAAGGCAACGAAGAAUAAUAAGGGCUGGUUUGGUAUUGUGUGCUUUGAAAAAAAGCUGCUGUGAGAAUAUGAAAUAAAGCCAGUAGAGUGUUUGGUAAACUUUUUUGUGAAAGUGCUUUUGGAAAAAAAAAAACAGGAUGAUAGUGUGUCUUUUCAUUAAAGGAGCACUGUAGCUCCGUGUGCUUUGAAAAAACUGGCUUUUUUUCAAAGCAGCAAAUAGCAGCUUCAGCUUUUCCUUUGAUUUUCAGCUUAUUCUCACAGCAGCUUCCAAAAUAAGCCCUUUUUUUCAGUUUACCAAACACAAAAAUGACCCUCAGCUUUUUUUCACAGUGGCUUUUUUUUUAAAUCACCUCAAUCCCAAACGGGGCCUAAGUCCCAACAAGGAAGCUUCUUGGAAAUUACUCAUCAGUCUUCCACUCUUUUUUUUUCCUGGAAAAUUCUUCUCCUUUAACUUUGGUGGUACAUGUGUCGACGUUUUUUCUUCAGCUUCUCUUCUUGAACGAGUAUUGGAAAGUGCACAGCUCUUGCAUGUGGAUUUCUUUGUUGCUUCUUUGAGGGAGAUUUAUAAUGCCCGGAAUCAUUAGAGCGGUGUGGCUCAAAUUUAUUCUCAUUUCGCAUCGUAUUUUAACUUUGUGGCAUGACAACACAUAAUAGUUGAUUACACCGACGUCUUGACGUUUUGUUUAUAUAAUUUAUUCGUUCUUUCCCACAUAUAAUGUUUUCUGUUGAGAGUUUAAUUUGCUUUGUUACUUGAUGGUUGUGUGAUGGUGUUGGUUGGUGAUGGAGCUGCUUGCUAGGUCCUUCCAACUGAUCUUUGGUUCAUUACUGGAUGACAACGUUUGAUCGCUGAUGUUCUCACUAAAUUAGUAUGUAUUCUUCCGUUUCAUCCAAUUUUAUCUUUAUACUUAUAUGAUGAAACCUUUUUUUUUGUUUUUUUUUUUGUUUUUUGUUUUGAGAAGUUAUGUGAUGAAACAUUCAAAUCAUUCAAAUGAAACCAAUCUUAGAGGUUAGAUGCAGUGGACCUGUAGUUUAAUUUGAUUAAAGGGAGGUAUGGCUGAGCUCAUUUUUUUUAGUAGUAAGUGUUGUGCGGAAACGUCAAAUUUGAACCCAAUAAACUAAUACAGAAAAAUUUGACAAAACAAGCAAUUCAAAGUGACACAAGGUUUUAUACUAGUUUGGCAUAAGUCUACAUUCAGUUUGGAAACGACAAGGAAACUCUAGUAAUAAUCAAAAUGAAGAUGACAAGUAGAGUUUUUAACUCAAAUAAAAAAUAAAUGAAUAAGAUAAAAAUACACACCAAUUCCAUCUCUUCCAAAAAUCACAAAAUGUAGCACCAAUAUCAUGAAUGAGUAAUCGCCCAAAAUGUAGUAACCAUCUCUCUCCCAUUUAUUCUUUUCCUCAUCUUCAAUUUCCUCUCUUGUUACAACUUCUCUGUGAGAAUUUUCGGUGUGAUUUUUAUGCUUCUUUCCUUGCCAUUUGUCACUUUUCUCUGCCUAAGUUUGUACUGAUCCUGUACCUUUCUCUGAGUCCUUAAUCUCUUUGGCUUAAUAUACAUUUUCAAUUACCAAAACAAUAUUUAAAGUUUCUAUUUUCAUUUCACCGCUCAUUUUUGUUUUACUUGUUCAUUGACUACUGUUUUUGUUUGCAGAACCCCUCUUCUGGUAGCUGAAUAAAAUUCAACGGCUUAAACUGAAUUAUCAUGGACUUAAGAUGAAAUCAAAUUAUCAAAUAUGUGUUGACAUGGAAUCAAAUAUCUAACCGCAGUAAGUCCAUGUAGUUACGAAUAAAAAUUGCAUCUUGUAAAUUAUCAAAAGAAGAUUUAACGUUUCAAUUUUUUUUUGUUUAAUUUUACAACAUUGAUCUUCUAUCUUUUUACUUGUUCAUUCAAUUAUUGUUUCAUGUUUGCAGUACCGAUUUACAUCAACUACCUUUUUUCGAUGGCAUUAAGCACCCAAAGAGCCUCGGCAUCUUUUGUUUUGAAUGAAUCAGCUCCUCGAUGGAAGUAUGAUGUGUUUUUGAGUUUCAGGGGUGUAGACACCCGCAAGGGUUUUGUAUCCCAUUUAUACCAUGAAUUGUGCAAUUGCCAAGGAAUUACGACUUUCAUGGACGAUCGAGAUCUUGAAGGAGGAACAAGUAUUCAUCUUGAGCUCCCGAGUGCGAUCAAAGAAUCGCACAUUGCAAUCGUUGUUCUCUCACCAAACUAUGCUUUUUCCAAAUGGUGCUUGAAUGAACUUACAGCCAUUCUUCAAUGCAUGGAAUCCAGGAACUCUAUUCUGCCGGUCUUUUAUGAGACAGAUCCAUCUGACGUUGGAAAUCAACGGGGACGUUUUGCCGAAGCCUUCGCGAAGCAUGAAGAAAAUUCGAGCAGUACCGAAGAUAAAAGGAAGGUGGUCCAAUGGAAAGCUGAUCUAAAAAGAGUGUCCAAAAUUUGUGGUUGGCAUUCGAAGGAAUAUAAGUAAGCAUGCACGAACAACUUUAAUUUCCCAUGUCUUAGUAGAGUCAAAAUUGAAUGCUUCGUUUAUGUUUUUUUGAUUGGUUAUUUCAUACCAUGUAGGAGCGAAAGUGAGAUUAUACAACAACUCGUCAAAAGUGUGUGGAGGAAAGUGCAAGCUACAUUCCCGUUGUUAGAUUCCUCACAGGAAUUAGUUGGGGUUAAUUCUGGGCUUGAGCAACUAAGUUCGUUGUUAGCUCAUGAUGUCAAUGAUGUUCGCUAUAUAGGGAUAACGGGGAUGGGUGGCAUUGGUAAGACAACCCUUGCUAAGCUAGUUUAUGAUAGAAUCUUCCAUCAUUUUGAAGUUCACUGCUUUCUUGAAAACGUUAGAGAGGCUUCUAAAGCAGACCCUACUCUAAUUCGUCUUCAAAAAACACUUCUUUCGCCGAUGUUGAAAGAAAAGAUUCUCACACAACAAUGGGGAAUCAAUUACACCAAGAGAUGCUUAUGGAACAAAAAGGUUCUUCUUGUACUUGAUGAUGUGGAUCACAUAAACCAACUACAAGUACUAGCUGGAAAGGAAGAUUGGUUUGGCAUGGGAAGCAUAAUUCUCAUUACAACUAGAAAUGAACGUCUGCUAGUCGAGCAUGGCAUAACAUUAUGUCAUAGUGUCAAAGUGUUAAAUGAUGAUGAAGCUCUUGCGCUGUUUAGCCUGCAUGCCUUUAAGAAAAAUCUGCCUGAUGAUGGGUUUUUGGAACUGUCUAAGUAUUUCAUUAAUUAUGCUGGAGGCCUUCCAUUAGCUCUAAAAACUUUGGGGUCGACAUUGUUUAAGAGAGGGCUACAUGAUUGGAAUAGUGUGCGGGAUAAUCUGUCAAAAGUUCCUAAUCCAACAAUUUUUGAUAAACUUAAAAUAAGUUAUGAUGGACUAGAAGAGAUGGAGAAGAGCUUUUUUCUUGAUGUUGCAUGUCUCCACAAAGGGAAGCACCGGGAGGAAAUAAUUGAAAUACUAGAUAAUUCUUUUGGAAUUUCUAGUUGUUAUAGGAUAAAUGUACUAAUUGAGAGAUCUCUCCUCUAUCAAGAUCACAAUAAAUGCAUACGGAUGCAUGAUUUGAUACAAGAAAUGGCAUGGACAAUUAUUGGUCACUACUCUACAGAACCUGGUCAACACAGUAGGUUGUGGCUUUACAAUGACAUCUGUCAUAUAUUCACAACGAAUACGGUAAGAAGUUAAAUACCAAGUUUGGAAGAAGAUAUGAUUUCUUUUGGCACUAUAUUAGACUUGAAAGUAAAAUUAAUUUGUCCUUUUUUUCCUUAUUUGUUAGGGAACGGGAGCAAUUGAAGCCAUAUCAUUACGGCUGCCCCAAGUAGAAGAGGCACUCCAGUGGAAUUGCGAAGCCUUCUUUAAGAUGGAUGGACUAAGGUUUUUGGAAUUCGAUAAUUUGAUCUUUUCUUCAGGCCCCAAAUUUCUUCCAUGUUCCUUGAGAAUUAUAAAUUGGAGUUUCUAUCCUUCUAGUUUUCUUCCAACCAGCUUUCACCCGCGCUUCCUUGCUCAACUUAAGAUGCGUGAAAGCAAUCUUGUUCGACUUUGGGAGGGAAAAGUGGUAAGAGUAGCUAUGAACAAAGGAUAAUAUUUGGGUAGUCAUUAGUUAGUACUCACUUGUUUACUUUGUCCAAUGAUAUUAGAACAAAUAUUUUAUUAUUUUUCUAAAAUAAUAGACGUGUUAUUUUAUUUUUCUCGAGUUUUAAAAACAUGGAACACAUGACAUUUUUUUAUUGGACCAAAUUAAAAAAAUGAGUAUAUAGAGUAUUCAGUAGUAAAUGCCUAAGUUUUAUCCAUCCUUGAAUAAAUGCUAUUUAAUUUACAAAAUAAUAAUAUAUUUAUUUAUUAUUUUGAAUAAACUUUAAGGUUGUAGAAGAUACAUAUAUGAUCUGAACCUUAUCGGUGUUGUACAGGACUUGCCAUACUUGAAAUGUAUCGAUCUUACCGAUUCCAAUAAAUUGAAGAGUACCCCAAAUUUCAGUGGUCUUCCAAAUCUUGUGGAUUUGAUUCUUCGGAAUUGUAAGAAUUUAGUUGAGAUACACCCGUCUAUUGCAAUCCUCAAAAGACUUAAACAUUUGUUUCUCAGUGGCUGUGAAAGCAUUAAGAGCCUCCCAAGUGAGGUUGAAAUGGACUCUCUUCAAUCUUUAGAUCUUGUUGGCUGCUCAAAUGUGAAAAAGAUUCCAGAAUUUGGGGAGCAGAUGAAGAAUUUAUUCACGCUUGACUUAAGUGAGACUGCGAUCGAGAAAAUACCUUCAUCAAUUGGACAUCUGGUUGGCCUUAGGGAAUUGCAUGUAAGGAAUUGCAAAAAUCUCUUGAACCUUCCAAGGGCUAUUUGUAAUUUGAAGUCUCUCAAACAUCUACAAUAUGGGAUCGACUAUGACGCAGCCCCUUGUGGAUCGGAUGGUAAAGCAAGCGAGCGGUGGGGGGGCCUUCUCCGCUUAUUAGGACUUGAAAAGAGUCGCCCUGAUCCUCUUCCUUGGUGGAGUUCGGUGUUGUCUUCUCUAAAUCGUUUCUGCUCUUUGACACACUUACAGCUAAAGAAACGUAAUAUCCAGGAGGGGGAUAUCCCCGAUGAUAUUGGCUGCUUGUCUUCAUUGGAAGAAUUGGAUCUUUGUGGAAAUAAUUUCAUCAGUCUACCUGAAAGCAUUAGACGCCUUUCUAAGCUUAGGAAACUUAUUCUGGUGAGGUGCAAAAGCCUUCAACAAUUGCCACCUCUUCCAUCACAGAGCGAAAGUGAAUUUGACUAUGACUGGACCUGGAACUUAUUUGUUCAUGUAGACAUUUGCACUUCCUUACGAAGGUUCUCAGAUCCAUCCAAUUUGUAUGGUGUUUGGGUCACUUGCCUGAAUUGCAUUGCAUUGGUUCCAGAUGAAGGCUGGAUUAAGACAAUACUCUCAGGGGUUGUAAGAUACGCGGUAUCUCUCUCUCUCUCUCUCUCUCUCUCUCUCUCUCUCUCUCUCUCUCUCUCAAUACAAUAAAUAAUUGAUCCUUCUUCUUCUACAGCCAUUCGGUCCGAUGAACGCUGUAAUCCCUGGAAGUGAAAUCCCAGAGUGGUUCAAUAAUCAGAAUGUGGGACAUUCAAUAAAUGUGGAGGUUCCUCCAGGUGACGACUUGCUGGAGCUUGUCAUCUGUGCUGUUUUUCAAGACCCUUCCCAAAACUUGGCAAAUCCAGCUGCCCUUCGUCAUUAUGAUAAUUUCGAAAUUAUGUGUUUUGGGAACCCUCCUAUAGGUACUAAUGGUGUGAAAUACGGCAUAGGGUCUCUUGUGUCAGAACACCUUUGGAUAUUUUCUUGUCUGUGUCCUCUUCGUGAAGAUUGUCAUCAGAAACUGUUAUCUUUCGAAACUUUUUUUGAUGGGAAACUAAAAGCAGAUUGGCAUGUGGUGAAGAAGUGUGGGGCUCGUUUGGUGUACAAGCAAGAUUUGAAAGAACUCAACCGAAAACUACUGAAAUGAACACGGGAAAAUCAUGACGAGGCAACUACACGGCAACUCCGUUUUGACGAUCAAAUGAAUUUGCGGCCUAUGCAUGGGUGAAGUGCGAGAGGGAAGAGGAUAAAGAUUGCUAUGAAGUUCUGAAACAAGAAGCGAAUGUUAAUGGUCGUCCAGGUGCUGAAUUUGGAGCUGAAGAUCGAUAUGUUCGUCUCACCCUCUUAAGGACCCAAGAUGAUUUUGAUUUAUUGCUUCAGCGACUCAACUCCUCAAGUAGGGUGUCAAUACGUGGCAUAAUCUGCUACAGAGAAACAUUGCAGAAAUAUAGUAGAGCACUACUCGUGCUCCCUUAUGUACGUUUGUAGAAAUAUAGGAGAGCACUACUCGUGCUCCCUUAUGUACGUCUAUAUAUAGCAGUCACCAUUUAGUUUCGGAAGAAAGACAAAGCCAACAAACCAUAUGUAAACCAUUUGAUCGCAAAAUAACUACCUCACAAUCUUUGUGGGCAUUUUUUUUUUCCUGUAACUCUCUUAAACAGAAUUCCUCAGUUCUGUCAACAUUUUAGUGCCCUGAACAUGCCACAAAAUAAAUCAAAGUAAAUAAUGAGAUCAAUACACAACCUUUGUCACUUUGAAGUUCUACAAACAUAUGGUGCAUAUUUACCGCAUAACGCAACUGGUAAGCUCCAUAAUGUAAAUUCUCCAGACGGCUGGAAAAUAUCCCAACAAAUACUUUAGGCUCCUCAACAGGGUUUUGACCUACUAUUCAAUUUGAUUCUAGGACUCCAGUCCAAUCUCACGUCUCAAACUGAAGCCAUAUUAUACAAUCCUAAUAGGAAAAACGACCUAUGAAAGUUUCAUACCUUGGAAUUUAUUACUUUAAUUGCAAUAAAGCCAGGUAACGGCCUCCCACCAUCUGACGAAAAGAUCCUUCCAUGUAUUCCUAUCUAGAGGGUAUAAGUUGAGUGUAAUUAAACGAUAUCACACCCAUCUAAAAUUAAACAUUUGAAAUAUUGGAAAUGGUGUCAUGCGAGAAUUUUCGCUCUAAAUCUCAAAUGUUUCACACAGAGAAAGUUAUUUCAAGAAUACUUAAAAUGCUAUGCACUUAUGAUUACUCUUCUCAUGAUCAAAACAACAUGUGAAUCAAGUACCAUGGAAUCAAUCAACAGACCACAAGCUAAAAUAAGUAAACAUUCAGUCCCUGUGGUAAGACCAUCUAAUAACAUAUUGAUAGGCAGCCAUAACAUACCUUGGCUACAGUUGCAACGAGAUUAAGCAUGCUCAUUUUGUUGCAUCCCCAAAGAGUCAGAAGCUGCAUGUUUAUACGCAUUAAAGACAACACGUCAAACAGCUAAAUGAUAAAAAUGUCGUACCCAGUGCACAAGGCUCCCGCUUUACGCAGGGUCUGGGAGAGGUGAAUGUCAGCUAGCCUUACCCCCAUUUAUAGAGAGGCUGCUCCCAAGUCUCGAACCCGAGACCUACCGCUCAUGGGCGAAGGCACUUGCCAUCGCACCAGCUAAAUGAUAGUAAGUUAAAAUGAAAGGGAAAUAAUCUCCUAGGCCAAUAAAAGUCACUUGUGCCAAUUGAUCAUCCAAUAAAAGUCCUUGAGUCUUCCUAACUAAAUGGAUAUAAAACUACCAAAAAUUCCCAUAUCACAAAUCAACUAGAACCUGUAAAUAAGCAAGAAUGCAAAGCUUAUGUUAAUAGGAAACAAGAAACAGGCAAAAAACAUAUAACUAACAUUGUGCCUCGUGUAUAGGUGAGGAACAAGAAACAUAACAUGAUAUUAGAAUAAUAUCAAGAUUUGAAGCAAGGACAGAGAGAAAAUAAUCGGCCAUGUUAGGAUACCGAGUAACCCAAAUUUAUCCUAGGUUAUUCACAAAGUAGACACUGAAAGUGUUGAGUGAAGCUUCUCUUUAAACAGACAUCAAGAUAUAUUCCCUACCUAAAACCUUUUAAUGAGGUGAAAUUUUAGAUUUUGAAAACACUGACAAGAUUAAUGGAUCCUCUCCCACCCCCCAAAAAAAUGCAAGUCUCUUUGAAGUGUCCAAGUCAUCAGAUUUUGUGCCUACAAUUUUGAACCUGAACAAUGAAAGACAAACAAAAUAAAAAUACAGGGCUCCUGUUCAAGUUGAGCUAAAGUUUGAGGAAGAGCAUCGUUCUCGACUAGGAAGAGCCAGCACCAUGCAAGGUUCCGUCCCCACCCCCCUAAGGUCCAUUGGACCUAUGGCUACACCAAAGGUGUAACCGUAUCCCCAUAUACAAGAUAAACUUGGCUAAAGAAAAUAGUAUUUUAUAUCAAGGUUGCAAACACUCGCAUAACUGAUGCCUGGCCUCAUUAGCAGCAGGCCAUUUAUUAUCACUAAUCUCCAAGGUCAAUUCAAAACAGCCACCAUUAUGUAGUUACAGUCUUGCAUGCCUCCAUAUAUAGGGUACCUACAACAGGUGUCUUAAGAAACAAUAGAUGAAUAUCAAACCAAAAGAAAAUAUACCUAUAAUAAGUUGUAAUGUUUCAAGCCAUCAUACCAGAAAGCUCCAUUUGUAAUGCCUCCUUUGUCGGAGAAAAACUUAGAGUACACAACUCUAACACAAGUGUUGGAAAGA